rnacentral:lncRNA from 1 species
UUUUAAGAAAACCUCAUUGUAUUCUUUCAGGCUGAUGACAAGUUCUGGCGGGUCAAAUAUGACCACGAAGCGGCCAAGAAGGCCAGAAAGGCGAAGAAAGCCGCCAAGAAAGCCGCUCCCCGCAAGAAGGGGAGUAGGCCAACUGCUUCGGAGCUGAUGCAAUUAAGCGACAGCUCCGAGUCAGAGGUAACCCCUGAACCUGUCAGCUCUUUGUUGUGUUUAUUGUUUAUUUCUUGUCCACCUUACCAACACUUGUUCAUGAACAGGAUGACACCGGAGCCAGUAACCCGGUGGUUGAAGAGGUAAUGUCACUUUCCUCCGACUCGGAGCCCUUGCCAAGGCUGAAAGUCCGAAGGGUAACCCGAAAAGUAAGCUUUUCACAUCCUUUAGCUUAUCAAGAUCCUCAAUUUAUUUUGAAGCGACGGGUUCAUGAGAGCCGGCGUCACACCCAGACCAACAAAGACACCGACCUCUCCUCCGGGCUACCUGACGCAUCGAGGAAGCGCCGAACUGAGGUUAUUUCCCACUUGUACCCUUUUCAUCCGUUGGCGGGUGUUAUCCGUCAGCCACUCAAUUCCUCUGACUCAAAUUAUCAGGAGACCUCCCCCUCUUCGGGCGACUCUAUGCAGUCGAGUCUUCCGGCUUUCAAGACCGCGCCCGGGUAAUGACAACCAUCUCAUGUUAUACUUGUCUUUACUUACCCUUUUUGUGCUUAACGUUUCUGUCCUUUCAGUGCCCAAGCCAAACUCACCAAGAGGGCGAAGAAAGCCAAGCCAAUCGAAGAGCCGGAGUUGCCUGAGCCGGAGGCAGCAGAUCAAGAACCGCCAGCUGCCUCCGCUCCCGAAUCCGCCGCUCCAACUAACAAGGCAGCUGCCGAAGCGUCUGCUAACCCGGAGGCCUCCGGCUCGGCUCAACCAGCAAAUGAUCCGGACGUGGUAAUCACCCGGACAGAAUUUGUUGAGCCGGGGAGACCUACCGCACUGGCUAAGUGCUCCGCUAAGGGGGAGUUGCUGCAGCCCCACCGGGUGAACCUGGACCUCUCCGACCACACCAACCUGAGCAUUGGAGAGCUCAUCUCUGGCUACAUCAGCCAAGUGCACAAGAGCCGGGACGCAGAGGUUGCCAUGGUGAACCAGAUCCAGCAGAAAUCUGAGGUAUCAUUCUGUUGUCCUCGUACUUACUGCAUAGUUACCUUUACCAUGCUAGCCCCCAAGUCGACGACUUAUGACUGAAUAUGUUGUAGACUUAGGUUCCGGCUUACCUAAUUGAACCGGCCAUUUGUAGAUAGAAACGUUCAAUAUGCAUUAGCCCCCAAGUGCCAAGUGUUUUUGCUUGGAAAACGCUUGGGACUUGAAAAUUAUAUAGUAACUGUUCAUGUCAUAACCCGGAAAUGUAUGCAGGCUGCUGGCAAGAAGCUAGAGGCUGACAUGGCUGAUCUCAAGAAUCGGCUGAAGAUGCAAGAGAUGGAGACCCAGAAGGCAAAUGCCAAAUUUGUGUCUAGCAUCGCCGCUCAAGAGAAGCUGAAGACGGAGUUUGACGCUGAGCGGAAGGCGUGGGCCGAAGAGAAGGCCGCAUUGUUGAACCGGGCUGAACAGGCAGAGAAGACUCUCUCCGAGAAGACCGCCGAGCUCUCCGGCCUAAAGCGCCAGGUGUCCCAGAUGGUGGCCGCAAUCUUCGGUAAGUCGCCUCACCGGCUUUCAUCAAGUUUAGAAUGUUUAUAUCUCAUAAUUCAUACUUAUCGGCGGCUUAUCUGAUUCUGUAAACAGGUCCCAGAAGUGCCAACCUCAACCAGAGCAUGGUAACCAAGCUGAAGGCCGUGUAUACCCUGGUGGAGCAGCUCUACACCGGGUCACAGCGUGCCUUAGCUGUGGUGGCCCUAUCCAACGAGGUGCCGACUCACCUGGCAGAAGUCCUUCGCCGGCUCACCGUUCUGCCUCAAUGGAUCCAAGAGCUGCGACGGGCCUCUGCAAGAGCCGGAGCAAUCGCCGCGCUGAGCCGGGCCAAGGCGUUCCUGCCAGAGUUAGACCCGGCGGACAUCUCCCUUGGCUAUCCAAGCCUGAAGGAAGACGGCUCCGCUUUCGAUCAGAAGGACUUCGUAGCUUGCGUGAAGGCCGUACGCCCGGUGGCCACUCUGAUUGGCAACGAUACAGAUCUGACCAAGUAUCAGACGGGCUACGAUGCAGAAAAUCAGAGGAUCCCUACUCCGCGCUAUGAAGCCCUUAACUUGAUCCCGCCGGCUCGUCAGCACACCUUCGCCCCGGAGAUUGACCCGGCCGGGUUAAUUGACGAGGAAGCCCAAUUCAAAGCUCUCAGUGGCAUCGACUGGAAGUCAUCAACUUUCCAGGUCUUGGGAUCAGCCGGAGGAGAAGAUAGGAACGAGCCGAAGACUUCAACUCAACAAGCGUCGUAACUUGGCUGGCGGCUUAGCAAACAAUGCCUCACCCUUUUGGACUCAAUGAGUCUUGUAAUAGAGUAGGACCAAUACUUUAUCUUUGUCGUGCCAUCGUGCACGCCUUGAAUUCUGAAGUCUGUUGAAAUUGUCUCCUUGAUGUUUCUCCGGGUCAUAAGUAAUCAUUUGUUUUCCUUGCUCUCAAAAUAGUUACCUGUAACUAUCCUGCAGAGAAAGACAAAUCACAAUCCUUGAGGCGGCUUACCGUCCUGAGAAUCAUAGGCUUUUUAAAUAACCCGGAACAUGAAUCAAAAAAGGACUGGUCUUCAAUAAUAUCCUAAAUACAGCCGUAAUAACAUACUUAGCGGCCUGCAAGCAUACUUCCGGCUUAGAUAACCCGGGUAGGAAGGUUGGUACCGCAAUUCCGGUUUACCUGCCUUAAUAACACCCAUUGUGUUCAGCGAAUACUGUAAACCAAAGUUAAGCCGGCAAAGUGAGACCCGGCCGUACACACUUGGAAAUAAACAGACAGAACUUACUAUAAAGCAGAGGAACUUAGGGGCUUCCGGUUCGAAUACGACCAGAGACCCGGCCCAAAGGGGUUAUGCUAGGAUUCGAAUGCGAUCAUAUAGCCCCCAGUGGGUGUGGCGAUGCCAAUCAAGAGGGUACCGACAGCUAUGUUCUCUUCGGUUCGAAUACGACCCAUGUUUGAACAGGAAGCCCCCAAGUGAUUUUAAGAAUUGUUUAACGACGCUGAUUCGAAUACGAUCCACAUCGGUUCUCAGAGGGGUUAAACUUAUGAUUCAAAUAUGACCAAAGGAAACCUCCCAAUGAGCUCGGCACUUUGCCAAUCAAAUGGGUAUCGACAGCUAUGUUCUCUUUGGUUCGAAUACAACCCAUGUUUGAACAGGAAGCCCCCAAGUGACCUUAUUGCUUACAGCUAGAUUCGAACACAAUCAUAAACUGGAUCCUCCUUCAAGUUAUCAUGUAAUCUUGUAAUGAAAAACGAUACGUACAUAUUUGGAGGAGGAAAAAGGACAGAGGUCCUGCUUUAUUUGCUUAUCAUAAUAUAUACAUGGCUGAGAGAAAUAUGUACAUGACGAGAGCCGGUGGCUCAAGUGUAGUAAGGCCGAAGCUGAGCUACGUUCCACGGCCUUCGGGUCUCUUCCUCCGACUUACGUGAAUCUUUGUGCUCCCGAAUGUCAAUGAGGUAAUAUGACCCGUUGUGCAAAUUCUUGCUGACCACAAAGGGCCCUUCCCAAGGCAGGGAUAGCUUGUGCGCAUCUGUUUGAUCCUGGAUGAGCCGGAGCACGAGAUCACCUUCCUGGAAGACCCAGGAUUUAACCCGGCGGCUAUGAUAACGGCGCAGGUCUUGUUGGUAAAUCGCUGAACGGGCUGCUGCCACAUCACGCUGUUCGUCCAACAAGUCAAGAGCAUCCUGGCGCGCCUGUUCAUUAUCCGCCUCAAUGUAAGCCGCCACUCGAGGUGAGUCAUGACGGAUGUCACUGGGGAGGACUGCUUCUGCCCCAUAAACCAUGAAGAAAGGCGUAAAACCUGUAGACCUGUUAGGAGUAGUGUUGAUGCUCCAUAACACGGAGGGCAACUCCUCCACCCAACAACCCGGAGUCCGUUGCAAAGGGACCAAAAGCCGGGGCUUGAUGCCCUUCAGAAUCUCCUGAUUAGCUCUCUCCGCCUGACCAUUGGAUUGAGGAUGAGCCACCGAGGAAACAUCAAGUCGGAUAUGCUCUCGUUGACAAAACUCCUCCAUGGCGCCUUUGGAUAAAUUGGUGCCAUUGUCAGUUAUAAUGCUGUGUGGAAAACCAAAGCGAAAGAUCACCUUUUUCAUAAACUGAACCGCCGUGGCUGCAUCGCACUUGCUAACUGGCUCCGCUUCAACCCACUUGGUAAACUUGUCAACUGCCACCAAAAGGUGGGUCUUCUUAUCCUUGGAUCUUUUGAAAGGCCCAACCAUAUCCAGCCCCCAGACCGCAAAGGGCCAAGUAAUUGGGAUCAUCCUCAGCUCUUGAGCCGGUACAUGAGCCCGUCGCGAGAACCUUUGGCAACCGUCACACUUACUGACCAAGUCCUCUGCAUCAGCAUGAGCCGUCAACCAAUAAAAACCAUGACGAAAAGCCUUGGCCACAAGAGACUUUGAGCCGGCGUGAUGGCCACAAUCCCCUUCAUGUAUUUCACGCAAGAUCUCUUGACCUUCCUCAGGGGAAACACAACGCUGAAACGCUCCCGUAACACUGCGGUGGUGCAACUCACCAUUGAUAACGAUCAUUGACUUAGCCCGCCGGGUUAUUUGCCUGGCCAAAGUUUCAUCCUCAGGUAACUCGCCCCGGGUCAUGUAAGCCAGAUAGGGCAUUGUCCAGUCUGGUAUGAUAUGGAGAGCCGCCACCAGUUGUGCCUCCGGGUCGGGGACAGCCAAGUUUUCCUCUGUAGGCAGCUUAACAGAAGGAUUAUACAGGACAUCCAAGAAAGUAUUAGGCGGCACCGGCUUUCGCUGAGAGCCUAGCCGGCUUAAAGCAUCAGUCGCCUCGUUCUUCCUGCGAUCAAUGUGCUCUACUUGGUAGCCCUGAAAGUGCCCAGCAAUGGCAUCAACUUCGCGGCGAUAAGCCGCCAUGAGAGGGUCCUUAGAGUCCCACUUGCCUGAUACUUGUUGAGCCACCAAAUCUGAGUCACCGAAACACCUGACCCGGCUCAAGCUCAUCUCCUUAGCCAUCCGAAGACCGUGGAGCAAGGCCUCGUACUCAGCCGCAUUGUUAGUGCAAGGAAACAUCAAUUGUAGCACAUAAUGGAACUUGUCACCUUUAGGGGAAGCCAAUACAACUCCAGCCCCCGAGCCCUCCAACUGCCUGGACCCAUCGAAGUGAAUAGUCCAAUAUGUGUUAUCCGGCUUUUGCUCGGGCACUUGUGACUCUGUCCAAUCAUUGAUGAAAUCCACCAGGGCCUGAGAUUUAACAGCGGUGCGUGGCACAUAUUUGAGACCAUGAGGUCCGAGCUCGAUAGCCCACUUAGCCACUCUCCCUGUGGCCUCUCUGUUUUGAAUGAUAUCACCAAGAGGGGCAGAACUGACCACGGUUAUGGGAUGACCCUGGAAAUAAUGCUUAAGCUUCCGGCUUGCCAUGAACACACCAUAAACAAGCUUCUGCCAAUGUGGAUACCGCUGUUUGGAAUCGAUAAGCACUUCGCUGACAUAAUAAACCGGCCGCUGAACCGGAUGCUCCUUACCCUCUUCCUUGCGUUCCACCACCACAGCCACACUGACGGCUCGUGUGUUCGCCGCCACGUACAGUAAUAAGGGCUCUUUAUCAACCGGAGCAGCAAGGACCGGGGGCUCUGCCAGCUGCUUCUUCAAAUCCUCAAAAGCGGUAUUAGCUGCAUCAUUCCAAACAAAGUUAUCAGUUUUCUUCAUCAACUGAUAUAAUGGCAUGGCCUUCUCACCCAAACGGCUUACAAACCGGCUUAAAGCAGCGAUGCGACCCGCCAAGCGCUGAACAUCAUUUAUACACGCCGGCUUAGCUAGGGAGGUGAUGGCUUUGAUCUUCUCCGGGUUAGCUUCAAUGCCUCUGUCAGAAACCAAGAAACCCAAAAGUUUGCCUGUAGGAACACCAAAAACACACUUGGCCGGGUUAAGCAUCAUCUUGUAGACCCGGAGAUUAUCAAAGGUUUCCCUUAAAUCAUCUAUCAGGGUUUCCUCCUUUAUGGACUUGACCACAAUAUCGUCCACAUAAGCGUGAACAUUGCGCCCAAUCUGUUUAUGAAGGCAGUUCUGUACACAACGCUGGUAAGUCGCCUGUGCACACUUGAGUCCAAAGGGCAUAGACACAUAGCAGAAGGCUCCAAAGGGAGUGAUGAACGCCGUCUUCUCCUGGUCCUUAACUGCCAUUUUAAUUUGAUGAUAUCCGGAAUAAGCAUCCAAGAAACUUAAGCGCGCACAACCUGCCGUAGCAUCAAUAAUUUGAUCAAUACGGGGGAGGGCAAAAGGAUCAGCCGGACAUGCCUUGUUUAAGUCCGUAUAAUCCACACACAUCCGCCAAGUGCCAUUCUUCUUGAGCACGAGCACCGGGUUAGCCAACCACUCCGGGUGAAAGACUUCAACAAUAAACCCGGCCGCCAAGAGCCGGGCCACCUCUUCACCAAUAGCUUUCCGCCGCUUCUCAUUGAACCGCCGAAGGAACUGCCUGACCGGCUUAAAUUUCGGAUCAACAUUGAGAGUGUGCUCAGCGAGUUCUCUAGGUACACCUGGCAUGUCCGAAGGUUUCCAUGCGAAGAUGUCCCUAUUCUCACGGAUGAACUCGAUGAGCGUGCUUUCCUAUUUUGGAUCCAGGUUGGCACUGAUGCUAAACUGCUGAGAUGAAUCUCUUGGAGUGAAAUCAACGAGUUUAGUCUCAUCAGCCGACUUAAAUUUCAUUGCCGGCUCAUGCUCCGUAGUCGGCUUUUUCAAAGAGGUCAUAUCAGUGGGGUCAACAUUGUCCUUGUAAAACUUCAACUCCUCUGUUGCGCAAACAGAUUCUGCAUAAGCUGCAUCGCCUUCCUCACAUUCCAAGGCCACCUUCCGGCUACCGUGAACCGUAAUGGUCCCAUUAUGACCCAGCAUUUUGAGUUGUAAGUAAACAUAACACGGCCGUGCCAUGAAUUUGGCGUAAGCCGGCCGCCCAAAUAUAGCAUGGUAUGGACUUCUUAUCUUGACCACCUCAAAGGUCAAUUUCUCCACCCUGUAGUUGUUUUCAUCUCCGAAGGCCACUUCCAACUCGAUCUUGCCGACUGGAUAAGCCGACUUCCCAGGUACCACACCAUGGAAGAUAGUGUUUGACUGGCUGAGGUUCUUAUCAACCAAUCCCAUACGGCGAAAAGUCUCAUAAUAGAGGAUGUUGAUGCUGCUGCCUCCAUCCAUGAGCACCUUAGUGAACUUAUAUCCUCCCACCUGAGGAGCCACCACUAAGGCCAAGUGACCCGGAUUGUCUACCCGGGGUGGGUGAUCCUCUCUACUCCACACUAUAGGCUGCUCAGACCACCGCAAGUAGCGUGGAACCGCCGGCUCGACAGCAUUCACGGCCCUCUUAUGAAGCUUCUGGUCUCGCUUACACAGACUGGUGGUGAAUACAUGGUACUGUCCACCGCUAAGCUGCUUGGGAUUGGUCUGAUAACCCCCCUGCUGCUGUUGGUGACCCUGGCCAGACUGCUGAUUAAAGCCCCCUUGACCGUUCGAAGGAUUGGAAUUUGAGCCGCCGCCCGGGCAAUGAAAACCGCCGGCGCAUGAGCCGCCGCCCGGGCCAUUGUAAUUCUUAAAGGCCUUCAUGAUUGCAUAGUCCUUCCAUAGAUGAGUCGCUGGCUUCUCUCUAGAGCCAUGCCUUGGACAAGGCUCAUUCAACAGGUGCUCCAGCGUCGGGCCUGACCCGCCGCCCCGGGGAGGGGGCCUCCCCUUACGUCGCUGGUUAUUCCCUUGUGAGCUGGCAUUGGCCACAAACUCUAGGCUGCCGUCGGCCUUGCGCUUGCCUCCUCCUUGGUUCCCCGGGUUAUGCUGAGGACCCUUGCCAUUUCCGUUCUUCUUUCCCUUCCCUGUCCUUUCAUCAUCUGAAGCGGGGUCCUUGGUACCAUCAGAAUCGGCGUACUUGACAAGAGCCGCCAUCAGUGUACCCAUAUCAUUGCAGUCGCGCUUAAGCCGCCCGAGUUUCAUCUUUAGGGGCACAAAACGACAAUUCUGCUCCAACAUUAAGACUGCAGAGCCGGCGUCCAUCUUAUCCGAGGAAUGAAUUAUCUCCUUAACCCGGCGAACCCAAUGUGUCGUAGACUCACCCUCCUGCUGCUUGCAGUUAGUUAAAUCCACAAUUGACAUAGAAUUCCUACAGGUAUCCUUGAAGUUUUGGAUGAAUCGGGCUUUCAGCUCAGCCCAAGACCCAAUGGAAUUCGGUGGUAGCCCUUUCAACCAAGUGCGGGCAGUCCCAUCUAACAUCAUGGUGAAAUACUUAGCCAUGGCCGCCUCACUGACCUCCAGCAGCUCCAUAGCCAUCUCAUAACUCUCGAUCCAGGCUGCAGGCUGUAAGUCUGCUGUGUAAUUAGGCACCUUCCUAGGGCCUUUGAAGUCCUUGGGUAGACGCUCAUUGCGGAUAGCUGGUACUAAACAAGGGACACCCCCAGUCCUGGUAGGGAUACCCACGUCGACGGAAGUCGUCGGAUAAGCCGGGGGGGUCUGGUAAGCCGUCAAUUGAGGCACCUGCUCCGCCUCUUGCCGCGCUCUGUCCUGGUCUGCUGCGUGAAAGGCUCUGUUAUGAACCAGGCCAUGGCCAGGGGCGGGUCAUGGCGUCGCACGUUACUUGAACCGGUCGCUGAGACCAUGUGUCUGCUGUAACUCGGGCUCCGGCCUGGAUGAGGGGUCGAGUGGAUCCUGUCUCGGCUGUAGGAAUACGCCUCUUGCUGCGCCAGUGCUGUCUGAAGGAGUUCCCUGACCCGACGGGUUUCAAUAGCCGUCGGAGAGUCGCCGUCAACUGGGAGAGCCGCCAGCCGUGCCGCUGCGGCGACCAUGUUCUCCAGCGGGUUAUUAUAAUGACCCGGGGGUGUUGGUACGUACUGAGGCGGGGCAGGGGCACCUGGGGAGGCCCCAUCAAUUGUGGCUGAAUAGGGGUCCCAGACCCGGGCACUAUGACCCCUGGCGGGUUACUAGACCCUGCACCUGGCGUGUUGAAGAGGUUUCGCGGAUCGUAAACCGGAGGGAGUCGUGCUUGGGCCUUUUGAUGCCUCCUUCUCAGGACCUCAUUGGACGCGUUUUGAUCCAUCGUUAAUCGGAAGGACUGCGCUUGAAUCAACUGGGUUUGGGCGUCGAGAGCCGCCCUUUCCGCAGCCAUCCUGAUCCCCUCUGCUGCCAGAUCCUCCUUGGCUUUCACUAGAUCCAAUUUUAACUGCGCCACCUCCGCAUCAUGCUGAGCUUGAUCUGCCGGGUCAACCGUAGCGGUUAACAGUGCCAUCAUCUUGUCCGUAAGAUCCAUUAGUACCUGAGCCGGAGAAGGCACCGGGUUUCCCGCUCCAGCAGCGGGGUUCUGAACAGGCUGCGCACCGGCCAUAAAGACUCCAACCUGACUUGGCGGCUCAAACGGGUCCGGAAUACUGUCACCAUCGGAACAACCCAUGAGCCCGCCAUCUUGGAGUUGAUACAACGAGUUUGACUCAUCGGUGGACGACUCGCCGUCAGAGCCGGCGGCCGCCUCAUCACCAGAUCCAAAUUGAUCAGAGGGCCCUCCAUGGAUACAUCCCACAAAAGCGUGCCAUAAGGCAGGCCGGGCCCGGGCGGGUCGUGCACGCUGAGCCGUCUCGAUGAGAUCGGCGCAGAGAUCCGGCUCAGGGCCCGGCUCACCAAUCUUGCCAAUGAAAACAUGAAUUCCGCCGUAGGGACCCGGUAUCCGUACUCAAUUGAGCCGGCGUCGGGGCCCCAGUUUGCAUCGUCGAUAUAGAGCUUGCCGCGAUGACUCUUGGUCAUCCGGCCCACAGCGUAUCCCUUGAGCCCUUCGAAGCUGCCCUUCAAGAACUCAAAUCCACCGUGUGCUGGCCCCAUGGUGGGCGCCAACUAUCGUGGAAUUGUCACGGCAGAUGUCCUUGAGUUAGGACUUAGUCGUGGAGCCAUCGCAGCUAGGAAGCUUGAAGGGGUUAAUGCGGGACAAGGAACACGAGGGUUUAUACUGGUUCGGCCCCUUACUGUGAUGGUAAAAGCCUACGUCCAGUUUGAGGUGGUAUUGAUUAGGGUUACGAUCACCAGGGAGCUAAACUGUUAUGCCCGGCUCUCGAUGGGAUUGUUCUCUGCCUUAAACCGCUGUCGGGUCGUCCCUUUAUAUAGGGAGGCUGACGCCCUGCAGCUCUCAGAGUCCCGGCCGGCUCAUAAGAGUGUCCGGCUCGGACUCUCAACUAUUCUUGCCUUACACUACAAGUUCUACCAUAACAAUGAUUGCAACUACGGGCCUUAAGCCAUAUCCGGGUCUUAAGCCCAUCUUUGGCCCACCGUCAUCAAGCUUGGCGCCAGGCUUCUGGCCAUGACCAUAUGAGUAACCCGGCCCCUCCUGGCGGGUGACUCUAAGGUCUAUAUCCUCAACAGAUCCCUUGGUGGUUUGUUCAAGUUUGAGAGCUUGGGAGAUGUCCACAAUCUCAUUAGCAUAAUCACACUCAUGACCUUCCAUUUUAUCAAUGGUGACCUCAUGCUCCUCAAGAAGAGAUUCCAACUCAUCAAUAUAUUUCUUGCCCUCAAUAGCAAUAGACAUGAUUUCUAUGAAGUUGGAAACAAGCAAUUUUAUUCUUAAUAAUAUCUUUAAAAAUCAUUUCCCCCUUAAUUUUUAGGGAGGAAACAUUAUCAUUCUCUUCAUCAUAACCAGCAUCAUCAUCAUUCUUGCCAUCAUCAAUAUCAUCACAAGAUAUAUUGGGAUUCAAAGUGGGAGAUACCUUUGAAGCCCUAGCCAUAAGGCAAACUACAAUAGAUGAUGAUGUAGGAUCCCUUGAAGCACCAUUCAAGACCAUAUCUUGUUCCAUGGGGUGUUGGGUUUCCUCUACAUUGUUAGCACAACAAUUCGAGGAAAUAGAUGCAUUUUUAUCAUGGAAACAAGACAUAGUAAGCAUAUCAUCAUGAGAUUUAGUCAAGCAAUUUCUACAUGAUAUGUAAGGACUAUCAACACAAGCAUGUGAAACAUUUGGAGUGCUCGAAGUGCUAAAGUCCAAAGAUGAGCAUUGCAAUAAGAAAGUGAUGAAGGAUUAUCAACAAUAAGCCCACUAUCAUCAUUGCAAUGAACACCACUACUCACCAUGUCAUUACCUUGUGGCAAACCACAUGUAGGUGAAGUAGAAGAAGUUAAGAACACAACACGGCCGGAGGUGGAGGGAGAACAAUCAUCCCCACAAAACUUGGACACGCCAUAUUUACCUUGAAGCUUUGUCCACAACUCAUGAGCAUCCCGAAAUGGCAUGAGUUGAAAUAUAACUACAUUGCUCAAAGCAUCAAAAAUCACAUUAGAAGCUUGAGCAUUGAGAUAAGAGUUUUUCUCAUCCUCUAAAGAUAAUAUUUGGGGAUCCUUUGGAGGAGAAAACCCCAUAUCUACAAUUCGCUCUAAUUUGGGUCCAUGACCCUAAAGAGAUUAAGCAUGCGAAUUACCCAAACGUCAAAAUUUGUGCCAUCGAAACUAAGAGUGUCAGAGAAUCCUAAUCCCCUAGUCGACAUCUUUACUCUCUAGGUGGUAAAGCCUAAUAAAGAGAGACAAGGCUCUGAUACCAAUUGAAAGAUCGAGGACAUUGCCUAGACGGGGGGUGAAUAGGCACUUUAAAAUAAUUACGGUUUAGGCUUGAACAAAUGCGGAAUAAACCUAGCGGUUAAUUUGUCAAGCGCAAAACCUACAACAACUAGGCUCACCUAUGUGCACCAACAACUUAUGCUAAGCAAGAUAAACAACUAAGUGAUAGCAAGAUAUAUGACAAGAAACAAUAUGGCUAUCACAAAGUAAAGUGCAUAAGUAAAGGGCUCGGGUAAGAGAUAACCGAGGCACGCAGAGACGACGAUGUAUCCCGAAGUUCACACCCUUGCGGAUGCUAAUCUCCAUUUGGAGCGGUGUGGAGGCACAAUGCUCCCCAAGAAGCCACUAGGGCCACCGUAAUCUCCACACGCCCUCGCACAAUGCAAGAUGUCGUGAUGAUAACCCACAAGUAUAGGGGAUAGUUUGUAGCCUUCUUCGAUAAAUAAGAGUGUCAAACCCAACAAGAAUCUAAAGGUAGAACAAAUAUUCCCUCAAGUUCUAUCGACCACCGAUACAACUCUACGCACACUUGACGUUUUCUUUACCUAAAACAAGUAUGAAACUAUUUUGCAAGAAUAAAACUACGAGUACUUUGCGAGAAUAAAACUACGGAUAAAUUGCAAGGUAAUAAAAGUGGAUAGCUUUUGUCAACAAGAAACUCAUUUGUCCCUAGGUAAUCGAUAACAAGUACUGGUAAUUAUACUUGUAAUUUUACAUGAGGGAGAGGCAUGAGCUAACAUACUUUCUCUACUUCGAUCAUAUGCACUUAUGAUUGGAACUCUAGCAAGCAUCCGCAACUACUAAAGAUCAUUAAGGUCGUGAAAUCCAACCAUAGCAUUAAGUAUCAAGUCCUCUUUACUCCCAUACGCCAUAACCCACCUACUCGGGUUUAAGCUUCUGUCACUCUCGCAACCCACCAUAAGCGAAUCAUGAACGUAUUGCAACACCCUACAGCAAGGACCCCUCACGUUUGCGCGAGAACGGAGGGCACCGUAGGACAACACCAUAAAUAAAAUAUACAAUCAUACCAACCAAUAUCAUGAUUAACCCAUGGUUUUCGGUGGCUAAAGAGCCUUGCGGUAGUGGGACUUCUGAUCUAGGUUAACCCCGAUGGGUUUCGGAAUAUUUGGGAAUUUAUAGUGCAAAGAGGGGGUGCGGGAGGCCACCGAGGUGGGCACAACCCACCUGGGCGCGCCCUGGUGGGUUGUGCACCCCUCGGGGUACCCCCAGGUGCUUCUUUGGCCCAAUGGAUGUCUUCUGGCCCAUAAAAAAUCUCUGUGGAGUUUCGCGGUGUUUGGACUCCGUUUGAUAUUGAUUUCCUGCGAUGUAAAAAACAAGCAAAAAACAGCAACUGGCACUGGGCACUGGAUCAAUAGGUUAGUCCCAAAAAAUGAUAUAAAGUUGCUAUAAAAUGAUUGUAAAACAUCCAAGAAUUAUAAAAUAACAGCAUGAAUACUUCAUAAAUUAUAGAUAUGUUGGAGACGUAUCAGCAUCCCCAAGCUUAAUUCCUACUCGUCCUCGAGUAGGUAAAUGAUAAAAGAAAUAAUUUAUGAAGUGUGAAUGCUAGCAAAGUGCAUAAGUUUGAUCAAUGAUAAUUUCAAUCACUUUUCCUAGCAUCAUAACAGCAAUCUUUCUUAUAAAACUUCUCAUGUUAUAGUAGCAACCAAUUCACAUGUUAAGGUUCAAACAAUGAACUCUCUUGAAACUCAACAACCUAUGUUCUUAGUCACAAAGCAAUUACAAUUCAACUUAUUCAACAGAGUUUAAGUAAGAGCUCCACAUACUCAACCAUCAUAUAGUCUUCUAUGAUUUCUAACACUCACCGCAUACACAUGAGCAAAACGUUUCAACCGGACACAUAGAAAGAUAGGGGCUUAUUGUUUUGCCUCCCAACGUAUUCACCUCAAGGGUGAUGUCAACAAUAAUAACUCAUGCUACCCAUAUUCAACUGGACAUAUGUGCCUAGAUCUUUCCUCACCACAUGAUGCUUGCCAAAGGAUAAAAAUAAAAAGGAAUAGAGAGAAAAACUUUGACUCUUUGCAUAAAAGUAAAUACAUAAAAGUAAAAGAUAGGCCCUUCGCAGAGGGAAGCAGAGGUUGCCAUGCGCUUAUUUGUUUGUAUGCUCAACCCCUUAGUGCAAAAGAACGUCACGUUAUAUUCCCCUUAUGAUAGCAACCUUUAUUAUGCAGUCCGUCGCUUUUAUUGCUUUGCCAUCACAAGUUCGUACAACGCUCAAUUUUCUCUUACACUAAAUGAUCUAACACUUUUAGAAGCAAUUUUUAUUGCCUUAUUGCAUUGAUGACAACUUACUUGAAGGAUCUUUCUCAAUCCUUAGGUAGGUAUGGUGGACUCUUGAAGAUAAUAUUUGGGUUUAAGGGUUUUUGGAUUCACAAGUAGUAUCUCUACUUGAUGCGGAUUUUUUGGCUAGCAAAGAUGGGGGCAAGCACCACAUGUUGAAGGAUCUAUGAAAAUAUAACUUCUAUGUGAAUAUGAACAAACAUGAACCAUUAUGUUGUCUUCCUUGUCCAACGUCAACAAUUUUGGCAUAUAAUAUUUUAAUGGGGGCUCACAAUCACAAAAGAUUUCCAUGAUAGUGUAUUUGCAUGUGAAAGUUCUCUUCCUUAUACUAGUUAUUCGUGAAUUGCUUGUAUGACCAAUAUUGUGAUUGUCAAGCCUCAAAAGAUUUCACUUUCUAAACCCAAUGUGAAGCUACCACUAGGCAUGAUAUGAUUUCAACUUCGUGACAUUCAAUUUAUUCAACAAUUUACUCAUAGGAUAUAAGUGAAGCACAAGAGCAAUUCCACAGAAAAGAGCUUCGUUGACGGGAUGUGAAUGCCGCUUACUUAGCCUCCAUGGCAACUAUUUGAGGACUAUAUUCUAUUUAAAAACUUUCGGAUCUAAGUAAUUUAUUAAAACAGCAAGAAAAACAAAGUAAAAUGACAUUCCAAGGAUAGCACACAUCAUGUGAAGAAGCAAAAACUUAGGCUCAACCGAUACUAACCGAUAAUUGUUGAAGGAAAAAGGUGGGAUGCCUAUCGGGGCAUCCCCAAGCUUAGAUGCUUGAGACUUCUUGAAUAUUAUCUUGGGAUGCCUUGGGCAUCCCCAAGCUUGAGCUUUUGUGUCUCCUUAAUUCCUUUUAUAUCACAGUUUCCCUAAAUAAUAAAAACUUCAUCCACACAAAACUCAACAAGAACUCGUGAGAUAAGUUAGUAUAAACCAAUGCAAAAACUUUAUCAUUCUCUACUGUAGCAAAUCACUAAAAUUAUUAUUCAACAUUGAAUAGUAAAUGCCUCUACAUAUUUAAUACUCCUAUCCUCAAAUAGCUUCAUUAAACAAGCAAGCAUAUGCAAACAAUGCAAACAUAAUAGCAAUCUGCCAAAACAGUACAGUCUGUAAAGAAUGCAAAAGUAUCAAUGCUUAUUCAACUCCAAACAUUAUGAAAUUCUACCACACUGUAGAAAAUUUAUCAGAUCUUAUUAUGCAAAAAGUUUCAACAUUUAAUCACAUUCCGAAUUUUCUAGGGAAUUUUUGCAACAUCGGUAAACUUUCUGUUUUCAAACAGCAACAUGUAGACUUGUAAAAUAAGCAUAGUAAGGGCUAUCAAUGCCACUUUUAUUGAAAUAAAAGAUGAAAAACAUUAUUAUAAAUAACAGAAAGAAAACCUAACAAAAUAAAUUGAUGCUCCAAGCAAAACACAUAUCAUGUGACGAACGAAAACAUAGCUCCGAGUGGGGUUACCGAUAAUGUUGGAGACGACAGAGGGGAUGCCUUCCGGGGCAUCCCCAAGCUUAGUAGCUUGGAUCUUCCUUGGAUAUUACCUUGGAGUGCCUCGGUCACCCCCAAUCUUAGGUUCUUGUCACUCCUUAUUCUUCUCAUAUCGAUAUCUCACCCAAAACUUGAAAACUUCAAUCACACAAAACUUAACGGAACUUUGUGAGAUAGAUUAGUAUGAUAAAGAGCAAACCAUUUCACUUUUGGUACUGUCAAAUACAAGAUUCAUAAUUGUUCUCACACAAUUCCUACUGUAGCAUAUCAUUUCCACAAUUUAUAUUGAGCAAUAUAAGCCAUAGAAACUAGAAAACAAGCAAACUAUGCAUUGGAAACAGAGUCUGUCAAAAAUAGAACAGUCUAUAACUACCAUACUUCUGCUACUCAAAAAAUUAUGAAAAAGUUAUGACCACGUGAGAAAUUUGUAUAUUAAACUUGUUCAAAAAGAAUCAACUUAAAAUCACUCUUCUGUUAAAAAUCAGACUUAUUUUCGUGAGCGCAAAAGUUUCUGUUUUUCAGCAGGGUCAAAUCAACUAUCACCCAACAUGAUCCCAAAGGCUUUACUUGGCACUUUAUUGAAACAAAAGCAAUAAAACAUGAUCAAUGCAGUAUAAUAAUCAUGUGAACACACAAAAACAGUAAGUAAAAGUGUUGGGUUGUCUCCCAACAAGCGCUUUUCUUUAAUGCCUUUUAGCUAGGCAUGAUGAUUUCAAUGAUGCUCGCAUAAAAGAUAAGAAUUGAAACAUAACAAGAGCAUGAUGAAUCAUAAGUUCCUAUCUCAUAAUAAUUUUCAGUACCAUCAUGAAUAGAUUCAUCAAUAUAACCAUCACAUAAAGCAUUCUUUUCAUGAUGCACAAGCAUAGAAGAUUUAUCACUCUUUAUGGCAUACAUGUCAUCAUAAUAAUUAUCAUAGAUAGCAACUUCAUUGUCAUAAUCAAUUGAAACCACUUCCAAAAUAGUGGAUGUAUCACUAAAUAAAGUCAUGACCUGUAACACCUCGGAUGUAACUUUCCAUAUUUGUAACUCCAACUCUUGCCAUUUUCGGCUAUGUGUUAUGAUAUUCCCUUCGUGGUCGGGUUUUGUCUUUCGUUUUGCAUUUUGUUCAUGUCAUGCAUCUCAUAUCAUGUGCAUCUCAUUUGCAUACGUGUUCGUCUCAUGCAUCCGAGCAUUUUCCCCGUUGUCCGUUUUGCAAUCCGACACUCCCACAUGCACCGGCGCACCCCUCUUGUCUCUUUUCGUGAGCGGGUGUCAACAUUCUCGGAAUGGACCGAGGUUUGCCAAGUGGCCUUGGUACACCACCGGUAGACCACCUGUCAAGUUUCGUUCCAUUUGGAGGUCGUUUGAUGCUCCAACGGUUAACCGGGUAACCGCAAAGGCCUUUUGUGUGUUGCAGCCCAACACCCCUCCAAAACAGCCCAAUAACCCAUCUAAGUCACUUCCAUGCUCUCCGUCGUUGGAUCAUGAUCGUGUGGGCGAAAACCGCACCUCAUUUGGAGUCUCCUAGCUCCCUCUACCUAUAAAUAUGUGCACCCCUCCGAAAUUCCGGGUCCCGAAACCCUAGCCCCGCUCCCUCUCCGCCGCCGGACACGUCCGCUCCGCGCCGGACAGGAUCCGCGGCCGCCCGCGGCCAACCGGAGGNNNNNNNNNNNNNNNNNNNNNNNNNNNNNNNNNNNNNNNNNNNNNNNNNNNNNNNNNNNNNNNNNNNNNNNNNNNNNNNNNNNNNNNNNNNNNNNNNNNNNNNNNNNNNNNNNNNNNNNNNNNNNNNNNNNNNNNNNNNNNNNNNNNNNNNNNNNNNNNNNNNNNNNNNNNNNNNNNNNNNNNNNNNNNNNNNNNNNNNNNNNNNNNNNNNNNNNNNNNNNNNNNNNNNNNNNNNNNNNNNNNNNNNNNNNNNNNNNNNNNNNNNNNNNNNNNNNNNNNNNNNNNNNNNNNNNNNNNNNNNNNNNNNNNNNNNNNNNNNNNNNNNNNNNNNNNNNNNNNNNNNNNNNNNNNNNNNNNNNNNNNNNNNCCAGCCGCCGCCAGCGCCGCCCCUCCGCCGGCGCCGCUCCGCCUCGUCCUCACCGCGUCGCUCCUCGGCUUCCGCGCCGGAAGCCGCCGCCCGAGCUCCUCCUCCAGCCGGAUCCGCCUCUCCUUCCUCCUCUCCGGCCGCAUCUCCGCCGUCCCGACGAACUCCGGCCACCGCGGCGAUCUCCGGCGAGAUCCAGUCGAACCUCGGUUCGCGUGCAAGUCAACCCUAGAUCCGGAGGUCGAUUUUUCCACCAAGUCUUUUUCUAUUAAGUGUUAUGCCUCUGUUCUUCAUGCCAUAACUUGUUGUAUACUGCUCCGUUUCAUGCGCAUGAUAAAUCAAAAUGUUCACCAGGAGAUGCUCUCCAUUUUGUUCCAUUGUGCCAUGUUUGUUUGAGUCCAUCUUGAUGCCCAAAUCUCUGAUGCAAGAGUGCUAUAUGUUGUUUACUGCUGUUACUUAUCAGAACUUGAUGUUUUGUUAUUUUUGUUGCAUUUGAUGUGUGCAUCUUAUGGGCAUGAGCUCUACAUGUGUUUUGAUCUAUGUCAUGCCAUCUUUACAGAGGUGUAUGCCAUGUAUUUUUGUGAUCUAUGUGGUGACUAGAACAAGCAUGCAAACUAGGCUUCGUGAUGUUUCUGUUUUCAGGGACUUAGGAUUUUGCAAAGUCCUUUUUCCUGCUGUUAUUUUGAUGCCAUAUAUUCAUGUUGCUACAGUGGGAUCCAUGCUUCUUUUAAGUAUGUUCAGUAAGGAUGUUUUGAACUUGUGGUUAUGCUCUAUCCAUCCAUGCCCCUGUUGGCAAUUAUGGAGUGCCCUAGCAUGCCUCAAUCUUGCUCUACUUUUGCUAUAAAAUGUUCCUGGCAGAAUGUUAACAUGCUAUUCAAUUUUGCCAAGGUUGUUCUAGUUGAUCCAUGCAUGAUAUGAACUUGUUCUUGCCAUGGUUAGCUUCAUGAACUUGUCUUCUUGCUGUUGGUAUGCUUGUUUUGUCAUGCAUUGCCUUGUGAUGAGUGAAUCGAGCUCACAAAGAUGCCUUCAUAAUUCUGUUAAUGCCAUGCUCUGUUUUCUGCUAAGUCUGAAACCUGUUAACGAAACUUGCUAUGUUUACAUGGGUGCCAUCAUAUCUUCUGUGCCUUUUUGGCUCAUGAUCAGUAAGGGACUUGUUUUCUAUCCAUUUAUUAGAUGCAUGCCAUGCCUUGAUUUGCUAUGAUAAGUUCCUGUAGCAUCUUGAUUGCUUGCUCUGAACAUUGCUACCUGAUGCUGUUUAAGCCAUGUUCAGUAUUUUCACCGUCUGUGAAGCUGAUAUCUUUUGCACUUUUUCCACGCUUGUUUGAACCUGUUAUAUUGUGAUAUAGCCGUAGCUCAUUGUUCAUCUUUUGUCAAGAAUCUCUUGUAGAUCACUUGCAUAUGCUUUUUUGCUAUGUUGGGGUGCUGUAGCAUAGUUACUUGAUGUAUUCUAAGUGCUAUCAUGCUGUUAAUCGCAGAAUUGUGUCAUUUUUGUUUUGCUUGCCAUUUGCAAACCGUGCAUCCGUUUCCGGUGAUCUUUAUAUCGAUUUCGACCGAAAUCAUAUUAUCUUUCCAGAGGCAUACUUGGUUUGGCAACUUGAUGCCUUGUUCAUAUUUUCCCUUCCGGAGCACGCAUAUGCAUUGCAUAUCACAUCUCACAUAUCAUGUCAUGAAUUGCAUCAUGUUGCUUGUGCAUUUCCCGUGAUUGAUUGUUGGUCCUUUGCUUGUGUUCUUGCUUUGGGUAGAGCCGGGAGACGAGUACGCUUACGAGGAACCUGUUGAGAACGCUUACGAGGAUCAAGCUUUCGACAACUCUGAGAACCUUGCAGGCAAGAUGACCAUACCCUCGAAAUCACUUCUAUCUUUGCUUGCUAGUUGUUCGUUCUAUUGCUAUGCUGCGCUACCUACCACUUGCUAUAUGAUGCCUCCCAUGUUGCCAUGUCAAGCCUCUAACCAUCCUUUCCUAGCAAACCGUUGUUUGGCUAAGUUACCGCUUUUGCUCAGCCCUUCUUAUAGCGUUGCUAGUUGCAGGUGAAGUUGAAGUUGGUUCCAUGUUGGAACAUGGAUAUUUUGGCAUAUCACAAGAUCUCUUAUUUAAUUAAUGCAUCUAUAUAUUUGGUAAAGGGUGGAAGGCUCGGCCUUAUGCCUGGUGUUUUGUUCCACUCUUGCCGCCCUAGUUUCCGUCAUACCGGUGUUAUGUUCCUUGAUUUUGCGUUCCUUACGCGGUUGGGUGAUUUAUGGGACCCCCUUGACAGUUCGCUUUGGUUGAAACUCCUCCAUCAAGGCCCAACCUUGGUUUUACCAUUUGCCACCUAAGCCUUUUUCCCUUGUGUUGGGGAUAUAACUACUGGUGUAACCCGCCCAGGAGGGGCCGGGUUACGCUAUAGCAAUUCAUUAUAUGAAGCCCAAUAUCAAGCUUGAAGAUGGAGGUUCAAUAAAGGGCCUAAAGCCCGUAGGCGACUUAAGGCCCGUAGUGAUAAACCGCCGUAAUGGCGUGACUUGUGUUGUAAGGCAAGAUUAACUAGUUACCGAUCCGGAUACUGUUUAUAAGCCGGCCGGGACUCUGUAGGCCGCGGGGCGUCAACCCGUGUAUAUAAGGGGAUGACCCGCCGGCGGCUUAAGGGAGAUAACAUCAAAUCGGUAGCCAGGCAUAGCGGAUUCGCUCCCUGGUGAUCGAAACCCUAGUAAUUCCACCUCAACUCGAGUAGGCUUUUACCUUCACCGUAAGGGGCCGAACCAGUAUAACCCUCGUAUCCUUUGUCCCGCUUUAACCCCUUUAAGCUUCCUAGUUGCGAUGGCUCCACAACUAAGUCCUUUCACAAGGGCAUCUGCCGUGACUAUUAUGACAAUUGGCGCCCACCGUGGGGCCAGCACACGGUGGAUUUGAGUUCUUGAAGGGCAGCUUCGAAGGGCUCAAGGGAUACGCUGUGGGCCGGAUGACCAAGAGUCGUCGCGGCAAGCUCUACAUCAACGACGCAGGCUGGGGCCCCGAUGCCGGCUCAAUCGAGUACGGGUACCGGGUCCCCUUCGGCGGAAUCCACGUUUUCAUUGGCAAGAUCGGCGAGCCGGGCCCUGAGCCGGACAUCUGCACCGACCUCAUCGAGACGGCUCAGCGUGCGAGACCCACCCGGACCCUGCCCUCCUUGAAGCGUGCUUUCGUGGGAUGCAUCCACGGAGGACCCUCUGAAGGAUCUAGAUCUAGCGAUGAGACGGCCAUCUGCUCUGAUGAUGAAUCAUCCACAGGUGAGACGGACUCGUUGUAUCGACUUCGAGACGGCAGGCUCGGGGGUUGCUCCGAUGGCGACAGUAUUCCGGACCCUUUUGAGCCGCCAAGCCGGGUUGGAAUCUUCAUGGCCGGCACGCAACCUGUUCAAAACUCCGCCGCUGGGGCAGGAGGCCCUGUGCACUCGCCGGCUCAGGUGCUGAUGGAUCUCACGGAUAAGAUGACUGCCCUGCUAACCGCCACGGUCGUCCCAGCGGAUCAAGCUCAACAUGAUGCGGAGGUGGCACAGUUAAAGCUGGAUAUAGCACGAGCCAAGGAAGAUCUGGCAGCGGAAGGAAUCAGGAUGGCUGCAGAACGGGCGGCUCUGGACGCCCAGACUCAACUGAUUCAGGUGCAGUCUUUCCGGCUCACGAUGGAUUAGAACGCAUCCAAUGAGGUCAUGAGAAGGAGGCAUCAGAAGGCUCAAUCUCGACUCCCUCCGGUUUAUGAUCCUCGAAGCCUCUUCAACACGCCCGGUGCAGGGCCCAGUAACCUGCCAGAAAUCAUGGCACCCGGGGCUGGAACGCCGGUUCAGCCGCAAGUAAUGGGGCCUCCCUGUGUGAAUACUGCCCCACCUCAAUACGUGCCAAUACCACCGGGUCAUUAUUCCAAUCCGUUGGAAAACAUGAUCGCUGCAGCGGCGCGACUGGCGGCUCUCCCAGUCGAGGGUGACUCUCCAACGGCGGUCGAAACCCGCAGGGUCAGAGAACUUCUUCAGACGGCUUUGGCACAACAGGAGGCAUAUUCAUAUAGCCGGGACAGGAUUCAUUCAACCCCUCGUCCAAGCCGGAGCCCAAGUUAUAGCAGACACAUGGUUUCAGCGGCCGGCUCAAGCAACGUCCGGUGCCGUGACUUGCCAGCUGGCCAUGGCCUGGCGCAUAAUGGAGCCUUUAACGCGGUAGACCAAGACAGAGCACGGCAAGAGGCGGAGCAGGCGGCUCAGCUGACAGCUUACCAACCCUUCCCGGUUUAUCCGACGGCUUCUAUCGAGGCAGGCAUAGCUACGAGGACCGGAGGUGUCCCUUGUCUGGUGUCGGCUCUCCGUAACGAACAUCUGCCCAAGGAUUUCAAAGGACCUAGGAAGGUACCUAAUUACACGGCUGGUUUACAGCCCGGAGCAUGGAUUGAAAGCUACGAGAUGGCUAUGGAGUUGCUGGAGGUCAGCGAAGCGGCAAUGGCCAAAUACUUCACCAUGAUGUUGGAUGGGACUGCCCGCACUUGGUUGAAGGGACUGCCACCUAAUUCCAUCGGGUCAUGGGCAGAGCUGAAAGCCCGGUUCAUCCAAAACUUCAAAGAUACAUAUAGGCAAUCUAUGUCAAUUGUGGAUUUGACUAACUGCAAGCAGCAAGAAGGCGAGUCUACAACCCAUUGGGUACGCCGGGUCAAGGAAAUAAUACAUUCGUCUGAUAAGAUGGAUGCCGGCUCUGCGGUCUUAAUGUUGGAGCAAAAUUGUCGUUUUGCGCCCCUGAAGAUGAAGCUUGGGCGGCUCAAGUGCGAUUGCAACGAUAUGGGUACGCUGAUGGCAGCUCUGGUCAAGUACGCCGACUCUGAUAGUACCAAGGAUCCCGCGUCUGAUGAGGAAAAGACGGGGAAGGGAAAGAAGAAUGGCAACGGCAAGGGCCCUCAGCAUAACCCGGCAAGUCAGGGAGGUAAUAAGCGUAAGGCUGAUGAUGGUAUGGAGUUUGUGGCCAACACCAACACGCAGGGUAACAAUCACCGACGUAAGGGGAGACAGCCUCCCCGGUCUGGCGGGUCAAGCCCGACGCUUGAGCAGUUGUUAAAUGAGCCCUGCCCAAGGCAUGGCUCUAGGGAGAAGCCGGCCACUCAUCUAUGGAAAGACUGCGCGAUCAUGAAAGCUUUCAAGAAUUCCAACAUGUUCAACGGUAACAAUGGGCAGGGCGGCGGCUUAGGUGGCGGCGGCUUUCAUGGCCCGGGCGGCGGUUCAAAUUCCAAUUUUCAGAAUCCUCAAGGUAAUCAAGGUGGUUUUAACCAGCAAUCUGGCCAGGGUAAUCAGCAGCAGCAGCAGAGGGGAUACCAGACCCAUCCAAAGCAGCUCAACAGUGGACAGUAUCAUGUGUUUACUACCAGUUUGUGCAAGCGAGACCAGAAGCUUCAUAAGAGGGUUGUGAACGCUGUUGAGCCGGCAGUUCCACGUUACUUGCGAUGGUCUGACCAGUCGAUUGUAUGGAGUAGGGAAGAUCACCCUCCCCGGGUUGAUAAUCCAGGUCACCUGGCCUUGGUGGUGGCUCCUCAAGUUGGUGGUUAUAAAUUCACUAAGGUACUCAUGGACGGAGGUAGUAGAAUCAACAUCCUCUAUUAUGAGACCUUCCGUCGUAUGGGAUUAACUGAUAAAAACCUCAACCAGUCCAAUACUGUUUUCCAUGGUGUGGUGCCCGGUAAGUCGGUGUAUCCAGUUGGUAAGAUUGAGCUGGAAGUAGCCUUUGGAGAUGAGUACAACAACAGGGCGGAAAAACUGACUUUUGAGGUGGUCAAAAUAAGAAGCCCGUACCAUGCUUUAUUUGGGCGGGCGGCUUACGCCAAGUUCAUGGCACGGCCGUGUUACGUAUAUUUGCAGCUCAAGAUGCCGGGUCACAAUGGGACCAUUACGGUUCAUGGCAGCCGAAAGAUAGCCUUGGAGUGCGAGGAAGGUGACGCUGCUUAUGCUGAAUCUGUUUGUGCGACAGAGGAAUUAAAGUUUUACAAGGAUAAUGUUGACCCGGCAGAUAUGACGUCUUUGAAAAAGCCGACCACGGAGCAUGAGCCGGUAAUGAAAUUUAAGUCGGCCGAUGAGACUAAGCUUAUUGACUUUGUGCCAGGCGAUUCAUCUAAGCAGUUCAGCAUCAGUGCCAAUCUGGAUCCUAAAUAGGGAAGCGCGCUCAUCGAGUUCAUCCGUGAGAACCGGGACAUCUUUGCAUGGAAACCUUCUGACAUGCCAAGUGUACCGAGAGAACUCGCUGAGCACACUCUUAAUAUUGAUCCAAAAUUUAAGCCAAUCAAGCAAUUUUUUCGGCGGUUUAAUGAGGAGAGGCGGAAAGCCAUUGGUGAGGAAGUAGCCCGGCUCUUGGCGGCCGGGUUCAUCGUUGAAGUCUUUCAUCCAGAAUGGCUAGCUAACCCGGUGCUCGUGCUCAAGAAGAACGGCACCUGGCGUAUGUGUGUGGAUUAUGCGGAUUUAAACAAGGCUUGUCCGGCUGAUCCUUUUACUCUCCCCCAUAUUGAUCAAAUUAUUGAUGCUACGGCGGGUUGUGAGCGUUUAAGUUUUUGGAUGCUUACUCUGGAUACCAUCAGAUCAAAAUGGCAGUUAAGGACCAAGAGAAGACGGAGUUCAUUACCCCUUUUGGAGCCUUCUGUUAUGUGUCUAUGCCGUUUGGGCUCAAGAGCGCCCAGGCGACUUACCAGCGGUGCGUACAGAAUUGUCUUCAUAAUCAGAUUGGGCGCAACAUUCAUGCCUAUGUGGAUGAUAUUGUGGUAAAAUCCAGAGAGAAGGAGACCUUGAUAGACGAUCUGAGGGAGACCUUUGGUAAUCUCCGGGUCUACAAGAUGAUGCUUAACCCGGCCAAGUGUGUCUUUGGUGUUCCUGCAGGCAAGCUCUUGGGUUUUCUGGUUUCUCAUAGAGGCAUUGAAGCUAACCCGGAGAAGAUCAUGGCAAUCACCUCUCUGGCUAAGCCGGCGUGUAUAAAUGACGUCCAGCGUCUGGCGGGUCGGAUCGCUGCUUUAAGUCGAUUUAUAAGCCGGUUGGGUGAAAAGGCCAUACCGUUGUAUCAGAUGAUGAAGAAACAGAUGAUUUUCUCUGGAGUGAUGCUGCCAACACCGCCUUUGAGGAUUUGAAAAGACAGUUAGCUGAACCGCCAGUUCUUGCUGCUCCUGUUGAUAAGGAGCCCUUAUUAUUGUAUGUAGCCGCUAACACACGAGCCGUCAGUGUGGCCAUCGUGGUGGAGCGCAAGGAGGCAGGUAAGGAACAUCCGGUUCAGCGGCCGGUUUACUACGUCAGCGAAGUACUUAUUGAGUCCAAGCAACGGUAUCCACAUUGGCAGAAGCUUGUUUAUGGGGUAUUCAUGGCAAGCCGGAAGCUUAAGCAAUAUUUCCAGGGCCACCCUAUCACUGUGGUUAGUUCUGCUCCUUUAGGAGAUAUCAUCCAAAACAGAGAAGCCACAGGAAGAGUCGCUAAGUGGGCCAUUGAACUUGGGCCUCAUGGUCUAAAGUAUGUGCCACGCACGGCUAUCAAAUCACAAGCAUUGGUAGAUUUCAUCAACGAUUGGACAGAGCUGCAGAUGCCUGAAGAGAAAUCGGAUAACACAUACUGAACUAUUCACUUCGACGGGUCCAGGCAAUUGGAGGGCUCGGGGGCUGGAGUCGUGUUAGCUUCCCCUCGAGGUGACAAAUUUUGUUAUGUACUACGGUUGAUGUUUCCCUGUACUAACAAUGUAGCUGAGUACGAGGCCUUGCUCCAUGGUCUUCGGAUGGCUAAGGAGAUGAGCUUAAGCUGGGUAAGGUGCUUUGGCGACUCAGAUUUGGUGGCCCAACAAGUAUCAGGCAAGUGGGAUUCCAAGGACCCCCUCAUGGCGGCUUAUCGCCGUGAAGUUGAUGCCAUUGCCGGACAUUUUCAGGGUUACCAAGUAGAGCACAUUGACCGCAGAAAGAACGAGGCGGUUGAUGCCUUAAGCCGGCUGGGCUCUCAACGAAAGCCGGUGCCGCCUAAUACUUUCUUGGAUAUUCUGCAUAACCCUUCUGUCAAGUUACCUACAGAGGAAGACUUGGCUGUUCCAGACCCUGAAGCACAGUUGGUGGCGGCUCUUCAUGUUAUCCCAGAUUGGACAGUGCCAUACUUGGCUUACAUGACCCGGGGAGAAUUGCCUGAGGAUGAAAUUUUGGCCAGACAAAUAACCCGGCGGUCUAAGUCAAUGAUAAUUGCCAAUGGCGAGUUGCAUCAUCGCACUGUCACUGGGGCUUUUCAGCGUUGUGUUUCCCCUGAGGAAGGGCAAGAAAUUUUACGACAGAUUCACGAGGGGGAUUGUGGCCAUCAUGCCGGCUCAAAAUCCCUUGUGGCCAAAGCUUUUCGUCACGGUUUUUAUUGGCUGACGGCUCAUGCUGAUGCAGAGGACUUAGUCAGUAAAUGUGACGGUUGUCAGAAGUUCUCAAGACGUGCUCACGUGCCGGCUCAAGAGUUGAGGAUGAUUCCAAUCACUUGGCCGUUUGCAGUCUGGGGGCUUGAUAUGGUUGGACCUUUCAAAAGGUCCAAGGAUAAGAAGACCCACCUCUUGGUGGCGGUUGACAAUUUCACAAAGUGGGUUGAGGCAGAGCCAGUUAGUAAGUGUGAUGCAGCCACGGCGGUUCAGUUCAUGAAAAAGGUGAUAUUUCGCUUUGGUUUUCCACACAGCAUUAUAACUGACAAUGGUACCAAUCUGUCUAAAGGCGCCAUGGAAGAAUUUUGUCAACGAGAGCAUAUUCGACUUGAUGUUUCAUCAGUGCCUCACCCCCAAUCCAAUGGUCAAGCUGAGAGAGCCAAUCAGGAAAUUUUGAAAGGCAUCAAGCCCCGGCUUUUGGUCCCUUUGCAGCGGACACCGGAUUGUUGGGUGGAGGAGGUACCCUUUGUGAUAUGGAGCAUCAAUACUACUCCUAAUAGGUCUACAGGUUAUACGCCUUUCUUCAUGGUUUACGGAGCCGAGGCGGUUCUCCCUAGCGACAUCCGUCAUGACUCGCCUCGUGUGGCGGCUUAUGUUGAGACGGACAAUGAACAAGCGCGUCAGGAUGCUCUUGACUUGUUGGAUGAACAGCGUGAUAUAGCAGCAACUCGCUCGGUGAUUUACCAACAAGACCUGCGCCACUAUCACGGCCGCCGGGUUAAGUCCAGAACCUUUCAGGAAGGUGACUUGGUGCUCCGGCUCAUCCAGGAUCAAACAGAUGCACACAAGUUAACCCCACCUUGGGAAGGGCCCUUUGUGGUCAGCAAGAACUUGCACAACGGGUCAUACUACCUCAUUGAUGUUCGAGAGCACAAAGAUUCACAUAAGUCGGAGGAGGAGACCCGCCGGCCGUGGAAUAUAGCUCAGCUUCGGCCUUAUUACACUUGAGCCACCGGCUCUCAUAAUGUACAUACUUCUGUGACAAUGUAUAUAUUAUGAUAAAUAAUAAAGUAGGACCUCUAUCCUUUUUCCCCUCAAAGGUAAAUUUGUCAUUGUUAUUUCCAUUAUGAUCUCACAUGGUCACUCGGGGGCUGAUCCAGCUUACGAUCGUAUUCGAAUCUAGCCGCUAAAAAUUAUGAUCACUAGGAGGCUUCCUGUUCAAACAGAGGUCGUAUUCAAACCAAAGAGAACAUAGCUGUCGAUAACCUUUUGAUCGGCACACUGCCGAGCUCAUUGGGGAGUUUCUUGGUCAUAUUUGAACCAUAGCUCAACCCCCUUUGAGAACCGACGUGGAUCGUAUUCGAAUCAGCGUCGAUAAACAACUCUCAAGGUCAUUUGGGGGCUUCCUGUUCAAACAUAGGUCGUAUUCGAACCAAAGAGAACAUAGCUGUCGGUACCCUCUUGAUCGGCAACGCCAAAGCCAUUGGGGGCUAUAUGAUCGUAUUCGAAUCUUAGCUUAACCCCUUUGGGAUGGUUUUCUGGUCGUAUUCGAAUCAGAAGCCUGUAAGUUUUUUGAAGUUUUUUCUUGUAAACAAUGUUUGGAUUCCAUUUGAAGUUCUUCUGAUCAUGUCUAAAGUGUUCAAGGGUGGUUCCUAUUCCACCGGCUUAACCUUGAUCAAUAAAGAUGAUCGCAUAUAAUAGACAUCGUAUUACAGAGUUAGGUUCUCACCCUCAUUGUUCGGGUCACAUAAACCGGAAGUAUAAUCGAAGGGUCACAGGUAUGCUGUUGUGGUUGUUUCGAAGAUAUAAUUGAGAACCGGCUUUUUAUGAUUUUGACUCCGGGUUAUAUGUAAAAUAUAUGACCCUCUAUGCGGUAAGCCGCCAAGGGACUUGUAAUUGGUUCUCUAUGCAGGACAGUUAAAGGCAGCCCUUUAAACAUAAGGAAGAAGAGGAUCAGCAUAAAACAAGGGAAUAUAAGAUGCUAUCAGUGACGGUGGAUUUAACCCAGUUGCAUGUGAUGGGUGCUUUGGGAGCCUUGGGCGGCAUUAUGAAGGAUGGAAGCCUAUGACAAAAUAAAAAUUUCCGGUUCAAAUUUAAGCCAGAGAAAAUACUUCAAUUCAUAUUCAAGAUGGCGGCUUACGAAGGGGCCUAAUGAUAUAUGGCUAAUUGUGUCAGAUUGUUUAAGCCGCCAUGGGAAACAGUAGCAAUUAAAUUAUUUAAAUCCACUAUGAGUGAUCAGGAUCAUUCAUUGAGCAUUGCCUCGUUAAGCCGGCGGUAAGAGUCGUCAUGGAUAAUGGAUACAGUAUUUUGCCUAAGUAUCGCACAAACAGGUUUCACAGGUUGCAGUUGGUAUUUUGGAUCAAACGGUGGUUCAGAAAAGAAAAUAUUCUAGACCUAAAAACUAGUACAGAUGAGUUCGUGAGCUCUAAUGAGGUCUUUUUACAAGCAAAAGGGAUCUGCUAGUAUUGAAAAUGGAUGCGAAGCAACUACCGCAUGAGUUCCAUACUACUUUUGGAUCAAAUAAAGCCGCGGUGGAGGAAUUACGAAGAAACUGUGUUGAACCAUGAAGAACACGGAAGAACUUGAAAACCCUAAAUGCAGAUCUGAAGUGCGGGAAGGUGAAGACUUAUGGCUGUAGAUCUACUGCGGAGGAUCGCCGCUGUUCUCUGGUCGAUUUAGGUUGAUGCAGCGGCCAAGAUCGACGAAGAUGAGGUGCUCUGCUGCGGCGGCGGCGGCGGAGCUCGAGCAACAGCGGAGUCGCGAGAGGAAGAAGAUGACAGAAAGGGGGAGAAUGAAGAAAGACCUAAAGGUCGUGCUUAUUUAUAAGGAAGGACUGACAGAGAGGGCACGAGAAACGAGGAGGCCAGACAUGGAUAUCCAGCUACUCCGACGCCUCGAUUUUCGGGAUGGUCAUUAAGAUAAAGAUCCAUUGAGAUAUGACAGAAUAAAAUAAAUUUAAUGGAAGAUGACGUCAUGGCGGGUUAUCAUGAAUUCAGAAGAUGACGUCAUGGCGGGUUAUAACUUUGCACAGACAGAAGCCAGAAAGUUUUUCUUAAAGUAUUGAAGAUUGACAUGAACCGGUUCAAAUCAAUCUGGGGCCUAAUGUUGGGGAUAUAACUACUGGUGUAACCCGCCCAGGAGGGGCCGGGUUACGCUAUAGCAAUUCAUUAUAUGAAGCCCAAUAUCAAGCUUGAAGAUGGCGGUUCAAUAAAGGGCCUAAAGCCCGUAGGCGACUUAAGGCCCGUAGUGAUAAACCGCCGUAAUGGCGUGACUUGUGUUGUAAGGCAAGAUUAACUAGUUACCGAGCCAGAUACUGUUUAUAAGCCGGCCGGGACUCUGUAGGCCGCGGGGCGUCAACCCGUGUAUAUAAGGGGAUGACCCGCCAGCGGCUUAAGGGAGAUAACAUCAAAUCGGUAGCCAGGCAUAGCGGAUUCGCUCCCUGGUGAUCGAAACCCUAGUAAUUCCACCUCAACUGGAGUAGGCUUUUACCUUCACUGUAAGGGGCCGAACCAGUAUAACCCUCGUAUCCUUUGUCCCGCUUUAACCCCUUUAAGCUUCCUAGUUGCGAUGGCUCCACGACUAGGUCCUUUCACAAGGGCAUCUGUCGUGACUAUUCCACGACACCUUGGGUUUUCGCGAGCCCGAGGGUCAUCUUUAUUUAACCCCCNNNNNNNNNNNNNNNNNNNNNNNNNNNNNNNNNNNNNNNNNNNNNNNNNNNNNNNNNNNNNNNNNNNNNNNNNNNNNNNNNNNNNNNNNNNNNNNNNNNNNNNNNNNNNNNNNNNNNNNNNNNNNNNNNNNNNNNNNNNNNNNNNNNNNNNNNNNNNNNNNNNNNNNNNNNNNNNNNNNCCCGGGCCAGUGCUCCUUCGAGUGUUGGUCUGAACCGAGCAACCUGCGAGGCCACCUCGAGGCAACUUGAGGGCUGGUUUUACUCGUAGCUUGACUUAUCUGGUGUGCCCUGAGAACGAGAUAUGUGCAGCUCCUAUCGGGAUUUGUCGGCACAUCAGGCGGCUUUGCUGGUCUUGUUUUAACAUUGUCGAAAUGUCUUGUAAACCGGGAUUCCGAGACUGAUCGGGUCUUCCCGGGAGAAGGAAUAUCCUUCGUUGACCGUGAGAGCUUAUAAUGGGCUAAGUUGGGACACCCCUGCAGGGUAUUAUCUUUUGAAAGCCGUGCCCGCGGUUAUGUGGCAGAUGGGAAUUUGUUAAUGUCCGGUUGUAGAGAACUUGACACUUGACUUAAUUAAAAUACAUCAACCGUGUGUGUAGCCGUGAUGGUCUCCUUUUCAGCGGAGUCCGGGAAGUGAACACGGUUUGGGUUAUGUAUGAACGUAAGUAGUUUCAGGAUCACUUCUUGAUCAUUCCUAAUUCCGCGACUGUUGUGUUGCUCCUCUUCUCGCUCUUAUUUGCAUAUGUUAGCCACCAUAUAUGCUUAGUGCUUGCUGCAGCUCCACCUCAUUUUCCCAUCCUUCCUAUAAGCUUAAAUAGUCUUGAUCUCGCGGGUGUGAGAUUGCUGAGUCCUCGUGACUCACAGAUUCUACCAAAACAGUUGCAGGUGCCGGUGAUACCAGUGCAGGUGAUGCAACCGAGCUCAAGUGGGAGUUCGACGAGGACCGUGGUCAUUACUAUGUUUCGUUCCCUGAUGAUCAGUAGUGGAGCCCAGUUGGGACGAUCGGGGAUCUAGCAUUUGGGGUUAUCUUCUUUUCAUUUGGAUUUGACCGUAGUCGGUCUAUGUGUGGAUUUUGGAUGAUGUAUGAAUUAAUUUAUGUAUUGUGUGAAGUGGCGAUUGUAAGCCAACUCUCUUUAUCCCAUUCUUGUUCAUUACAUGGGAUUGUGUGAAGAUGACCCUUCUUGCGACAAUACCUACAAUGCGGUUAUGCCUCUAAGUCGUGCCUCGACACGUGGGAGAUAUAGCCGCAUCGUGGGAGUUACAUGACCUCUCCAAAUCCACUUUCAUCAAUAUUGUAAUAAGAUUCAACACCCUCCAAAAUAGUGGGAUCACUACUACCUAGAGUUGACACUCUUCCAACCCCACUUUUAUCAAUGUAAUCAUCAUAAAUAGGAGGCAUGAUAUCAUCAUAAUAAAUUUUAUUAUCGAAAGUAGAAGGAAUAAAAGGAUCAUAUUCAUUAAGCAAAGCAUCGCCAAGCUUAGGACAGGCAUUAUUUCCAGCAAAUAAAUCUUCAAACAUGUCAUACUCAUUAAACAUAGCAUCCCCAAGCUUGUGGUUUUGCAUAUCAUCACAGUCAUUCUUAUCAAUAAUAGUAUGAAUAGCACCAACGGUAUAACAAUUGCUAUCAUCAUAAUUUCCCAAGUUGGUGCCAAAAAGACUUCCAAGAUUAUAAGAAGUAUCAUUAUCUUCCCAAUCAUAAUCAUCACAACAAGCAAUAGGUAUAACAAAAUCAUCAUCAAGUGCAUCAUCUUCCACGGUUAUUUUUGAUUCAUUUUCAUGAGGCACAACAAUAAUAGGAGCAACAUUAUUUGGGAGAGAUACCUUUUUACCUCUAUUCUUUCUUCUUUUCUUCUUCUUCACCACAUCAUGUGUGGGUUUAAUUAAUCUUUUCAAGCUUCUUAUUGAUGAGAUUGGUUGGAUAGGAAGCUCCUCCUCGUUACCUGAUUCAUCGUAAUAAACACUAGGAGGGUAUUGGGAAAUAUUUUCCCUUUCAUUAGUACUCUCUUCAUAUUCUAUUUGUUUUCUUAACUUUAAAUAGUUGGCAAUAUAAGGAUUCUUGAUGCAAUUUACCGCACAAAACAUAUAAAUUUCCUCUAGAUCAAAAUCAAGAAACCUCUCGAGAUUAAAUUUUGGAAUACCCUUAGUUAUAUGUUUCAUUUCUUCAUACCCCAAAAGAAGACUAAGCUCUUUAUGAUGCUCAAGGGUAAUCAUGUUAUCACAAUUUUUGGACACGAUUUGAUCAUGAAAGAAUUUGCAUUGGAGAUUUAAAUGACCACAUUCAUUGCAAAGUUCACAAGGAUGGCAAAAAAAUUACAUCUUUCAGCACAAUCAUCUAGCCUCUCUUGCAAUUUUUUCGUUUCUAAAUAUUUAUGCUCCUUACAAAAUCUAUCUUCCCUUUUUGGUGUGCAAUUGCACUCCCAAUUCACUCCGCAAAAAGUGACAUGCUUAUAAGAAACAUUUUUGUCAUGACUUGUGCAAUCAUCAUUAGCAUUUUUGAUAUUCAAAGAAUUCAUACUAACAAUGUUACAAUCAUGCUCAUCAUUCAAAUAUUUUGUGCCAAGCAUUUUAUUGACUUCUUCUUCUAACAAUUGAGCACAAUUUUCCGAACCAUCAUUUUCAAGAAAGAUAUUAUAAAGAUGAUCAAUAAUAUGAUGCAACCUAAAUUCCAUUUUUAUGUAGUUUUCUUUUAUAAACCAAACUAGUGAUAAAACAAGAAACUAAAAGAUUCAAUUGCAAGAUCUAAAGAUAUACCUUCAAGCACUCACCUCCCCGACAACGGUGCCAGAAAAGAGCUUGAUGUCUACUACGCAACUUUAUUCUUGUAGACACGUGUUGGGCCUCCAAGCGCAGAGUUUUGUAGGACAGUAGCAAUUUUCCCUCAAGUGGAUGACCUAAGGUUUAUCAAUCCGCGAGAGGUGUAGGAUGAAGAUGGUCUCUCUCAAAUGACCCUGCAACCAAAUACAAGAAAUCUCUUGUAUCCCUAACACACCCAAUACAAUGGCAAAUUGUAUAGGUGCACUAGUUCGGCGAAGAGAUGGCGAUAAAAGUGUAAUAUGGAUGGUAGAAAUAUAUUUGUAUAAUCUGAAUAAAUAAAAACAGCAAGGUAGCAAAUAGUAAACGGGCACAAAAACGGUAUUGCAAUGCUUGAAAACAAGGCAUAGGGUCCAUACUUUCGCUAGUGAAAUUUCUCAACAGUGCUAACAUAGUUGGAUCAUAUGAUUAUCCCUCAAAGUGCAAUAAAGAAUCACUCCCGAGUUCCUAUUAGCGGAGAACAAAAGAUAUAAAUUGUUUGUAGGGUAUGAAACCACCUCAAAGCUAUUCUUUCCGUUCGAUCCAUCCUAGAGUUCAUACUAAAAUAACGCAAGCUAUUCUUUCCGAUCGAUCUAAUCAAGAGUUCGUACUAAAGUAUCACCAAAGCAAACUCAUAUUCAUAAUACUCAAUCCACACAAAGAACUACAAAGAGACCCCAAAGUUUCUAUUGGAGAAAAGAUAAUAAAAACGUGCAUCAACCCUAUGCUUAGAUUACCCCAACGUCACCUCGGGAAUCCGCAAGUUGAGUGCCAUAACAUGUAUCAAGUGAAUCAAUAUGAUACCCCAUUGUCACCUCAAGUAUUCAUACCACAAGACAUACAUCAUGUGUUCUCAUCUCUGAAUAUUCAAUCCGACAAGACAAAACUUCAAAGGGUAAAGAUUCAAUUCAUCACAACAAGAGUAUAGAGGGGAGAAACAUCAUAUGAUCCAUCUAUAUUAACAAAGCCCAUGAUAUAGAUCACGAGAGAGAGAGAGAGAGAGAGAGAGAUUAAAAACAUAGCUACUAGUACAAACCCUCAACCCGAGGGUGGACUACUCCCUCCUCAUCGUGGUGGCCGCCGGGAUGAUGAAGAUCGGCGCCACCAGGAGAGAGGGGGAGAGAUCCCCCCCCCUCCUUCUUAUUCUUCUUCCUUGGCCUCCCCCCUAUAUGGGAGGAGGGUUCCCCCUCUGGUCCAUGGUCUCCAUGGCGGCGGAGGGGCGGGAGCCCCUCCGAGAUUGGAUCUCCCUCUCUGUUCUCUUCUGUUUCGCGUUCCCCAGAUCUGGCCGAAAACCAUUUCUUAUAUUCCCAGAGAUCCGUAACUCCGAUUGCGCUGAGAUUUUAACACGAUUUUUUUCUGGAUAUAAGCUUCCUUGCGCCCGAAGUAGAGCCCCAACCGACGUACGAGGUGAGCACAACCCACCACGCCACGCCUGGCUCCAAGACCGUGCCUUGGUGGGUUGUGCCCACCUCGGGCCUCCGUCUGCGGUGAUUCCAACUCCCAAAAAUCACAUCUAUUCCCAAAUAAUUCUCCGUGAAAUUUUAUUGCAUUUGGACUUCGUUUGAUAUGGAUACUCUGUGAUACAAAAUACAUGCAGAAAACAGGAACUGGCACUGGGCACUGGAUCAAUAGGUUAGUCCAAUAAAUCAUAUAAAAAGUCGCCAAAAGUAUGUAAAAGUUGUAUAAUAUUGGCAUGAAGCAAUCAAAAAUUAUAUAUACGACGGAGACGUAUCACGUGAUUCCACUAAGCGACCCCUGAGGGCGGUCACCGAACUCGUACAAAUGGCAACCCUUGGGGGCGGUCACCGAACCCGUACACUUUGGCAACCCUUGGGGGCGGUCACUAGAACCCGUCAAAUUGCUUGGGGUGAUCUACACAACCUAAUUGGAGACCCUGACGCUUUCCCGGUGCUUUACACCACAAUGAUUGAGCUCCGAACACCACCAACCGUCUAGGGCGCCCAAGCACCCAAGAGGAACAAGCUCAAGGGUACCAAGCACCAAAGAUAAAUAAGCUUCUCAACUUGUAACUUCCACGUAUCACCGUGGAGAACUCCAACCAAUGCACCAAAUGCAAUGGGAAGGUCACUCGGAGUGCCCAAGUCCUUCUCUCCCAAAUCCCACCAAAGCAACUAAUGCUAGGGAGGGAAAUGAGAGGAAGAACAAGAAGGAGAACACCAAGAACUCCAAGAUCUAGAUCCAAGGGGUUCCCCUCACAUAGAGGAGAAAGUGAUUGGUGGAAAUGUGGAUCUAGAUCUCCUCUCUCUUUCCCCCAAAAAACUAGUAAGAAUCCAUGGAGGGAUUGAGAUAUAGCAAGCUCGAAGAAGGUCAGCAAUGGGGGAAGAACACGAGCUCCAAGGAUAAGGUUCAUUGGGGAAGAAGACCCCCUUUUAUAGGCGUGCAAAAUCCAACCGUUAUGCUCACAGCCCGCACAGAGCGGUACUACCGCUCGUCCUCACGGUACUACCGCUAGGGGUAGCAGUACUACCUCAAAGGGUAGCGGUACUACUGCUUGCGAGCGGUACUAAAAAAAUACAUCUAUGCCUACCAUCGCUGGACUUGAGACAAGUUUUUGGUCCGGAGCGAAAGUAGCCACGGAAGUAGCCGCGGUAGUACCGCUCCCAAGAGCGGUAGUAAAAAAUUACAUCCCCUCCAAGUGGUAGUACCGCUGCAGCUUUUUUUAAGGACACCAAAACUGACACAACUUCUGCAAACGGACUGAAUUCAACGAAACCAAGUUUGUUGGAAAGCUAGAGACAAGGGCUAAAAUAAUAUUGAUAGAAAUAACAAUAAGAAGAAAAUUAGAAAAGGCACAUAAGAAAAUGGUGAGAACCCUUCCUCGAAUAAGACCGGUAAAACCUCCAACACCGAAAACGCAAUAGAAGAAGCAUGUGAACUCCGUUUUCGAUGAACUCGAGCUUGUCAAGAAGAUGACCAUAAGCUCCAAAUCUCACUAGGAGAAAACCAAAGAAGAACCAAGAAAUAUGGUGCAAGCAUGCAAUGGUUUGAGCUCUCUAUGAAUGAUACGAUCAAGCUACUCACUUGAGAGCCCUCCUUGAUAGUACGGCAAUCGAUUCUAUAUCCCGGUCUCCAAACUACCACCAUGAGACCGGUAAAAUAGAGAACCUAUCAAGGCCAAACCUUUGCCUUGCACAUAGUCCACUUGAGCUAGAUGAUGACGAUCUUGACUCCCUCAAGUUGGAUCACCUUUCUUGAUUGCGUUGGCUCAAUGAAGACUAGAUGUUUGCUCCCCCAUACUCUACUAUGGGUGAGACGCUCUUUGGCACAUCUUCUCAAGUCCAUUGACACCACAAUGGAUGGCGAGAUUCAAGGAUGAUCUCUUAUGAUGCUCCACUUGAGCUUGCACACUGCAACCUAACCCCACAAAGAACUCUCACGAAUACCAUGGGUUAGUACACAAAGCGUAAUGAACAAUGCUUACCAUACCAUGGGAUCACUUGAUCCCUCGGUACAUUUUGUACGCUUUGUGUGUUGAUCAAAUUGAUUCACUCUUGACUUAGUCUUGAUCAACCUUGAAUCUUUCCAACUCUCUUCAUUUGGAUGAUGUCUUGAAGGUAGACAUGAAUGAUCACACACUUUUCUUCUUCAAGACAUGCUUGCAAUAAGCUCAACACUCACAUGACCAAUCUUAGGAUAAUUCCUUAAUAGCACCUUGGUCAACUCAUAAACUCCUUGAAACCAACACAUGGACUUCAAGAAAAGCCUAUGGAUAAAUCCUUCAAAUAUAACUCAAUGCAACCAUUAGUCCAUAGAGAAUGUCAUCAAUUACCAAAACCACACAUGGGGGAAUCGCAUGUCCUUUCAAACGUUUCACCUUUUUGGACGAAACUAUAUCCAUUGCCUCUUCUCGAUUUCAAUUUUUUCCUAGUGUCAACAUAGAACAACAGGAGUGUUGUCAAUUUUGGGGAAUUUUCGGGGUUCGUCUGGACAUUUUUAUGCAUUAAUUGAGUUUUCAAUGCAUUUAUGUGCAUAAUUCAAAUUUGAACUACAUGCACAUGCUCUAAUGCAUAUAAAUUGGUUGAAAAUUCAAAUAUGUGUCCUUGGUUGCAUGCUUAGGUCCCAUGCAAGAAAUGGGAAUGAAAGUCAAACACCCUGCCACCGUCACUCGACCACAAACAUUGAGAUACCUGGUUUUUAAAUUCUAGUAAAUCCAAAACUCAUCUGAGAUUCAUGAAACUUGGCAUGCUAUCAUGGAGCGGCAUCAACAUGCCGUGGUAAAUUUUUGUCCCAUUUGGGGCAGGUUUGGGUAUAUAUGCUUCUCACAAACCAGAGCUUCUCACAACAAGCAUGAUGGUUUCGGCACGAAACGUCACACCUUUGGGGACGAAACAAUAUCCAUUGCCUCUUAUUGCUUUCAAAAAAUUUCUCGUGUCAACGUAGAACAACAGGAGUGCUGUGUUAUUUUUUUGAUUUUUCGGGGUUCGUUUGGACAUUUUUAUGCAUUAAUUGAGUUUUCAAUGCAUUCAUGUGCAUAAUUCAAAUUUGAACUACAUGCACAUGCUCUAAUUCAUAUAAAUUGGUUGAAAAUUCAAAUUUGUGUCCUUGGUUGCAUGCUUAGGUCCCAUGCAAGAAAUGGGAAUGAAUGUCAAACACCCUGCCACCGUCACUUGGCCGCAAACAUUGAGAUACCUGGAUUUUUAAUUCUAGUAAAUCCAAAGCUCGUCUAAAAUCCAUGAAACAUGGCAUGCUGUCAUGGAGCGGCAUCAACAUGUCGUGGUAAUUUUUUUGUCCCAUUUGGGGCAGGUUUGGGGACAUGCUUCUCACAAACCAGAGCUUCUCACAACAAGCCUGAAGGUUUCGGUAGGGAACGUUUCACCUUUCUGGACGAAACGAUAUCCAUUGCCUCUUCUCAAUUUUAAUUUUUUUUCCUAGUGUCAACAUAGAACAACAGGAGUCUUGUGUCAAUUUUUGGGAUUUUUCGGGGUUCGUUUGGACAUUUUUAUGCAUUAAUUGAGUUUUCAAUGCAUUUAUGUGCAUAAUUCAAAUUUUAACUACAUGCACAUGCUCUAAUGCAUAUAAAUUGGUUGAAAAUUCAAAUCUGUGUCCUUGUUUGCAUGCUUAGGUCACAUGCAAGAAAUAGGAAUGAAUGUCAAACACCCUGCCACCGUCACUCGGCCGCAAACAUUGAGAUACCUUGUUUUUAAAUUCUAGUAAAUCCAAAACUCAUUUGAAAUUCACGAAACUUGGUAUGCUAUCAUGGAGCGGCAUCAACAUGCCGUGGUAAAAAAAAUUUCCCAUUUGGGGCAGGUUUGGGUAUAUGCUUCUCACAAACCAGAGCUUCUCACAACAAGCAUGAUGGUUUCGGUAGGGAACGUCCCACCUUUGGGGACGAAACGAUAUACGUUGCCUCUUAUUGCUUUCAAAAAAAAAUCUCGUGUCAAUGUAGAACAACAUGAGUGUUGUGUCAAUUUUUGUGAUUUUUCGGGGUUCGUUUAGAGAUUAUUAUGCAUUAACUGAGUUUUCAAUGCAUUCAUGUGCAUAAUUCAAAUUUGAACUACAUGCACAUGCUCUAAUGCAUAUAAAUUGGUUGAAAAUUCAAAUCUGUGUUCUUGGUUGCAUGCUUAGGUCCCAUGCAAGAAAUGGGAAUGAAUGUCAAACACCUUGCCACCGUCACUCGGCCGCAAACAUUGAGAUACCUGGUUUUUAAAUUUUAGUAAAUCCAAAACUCGUCUAAAAUUCAUGAAUCUUGGCAUGCUAUCAUGGAGCGGCAUCAACAUGUCGUGGUAAUUUUUUUGUCCCAUUUGGAGCAGGUUUGGGUAUAUGCUUCUCACAAACCAGAGCUUCUCACAACAAGCAUGAUGGUUUCGGUAGGGAACGUCCCACCUUUGGGGACGAAAUGAUAUCCAUUGUCUCUUCUUGCUUUCAAAAAAAUUCUCGUGUCAACAUAGAACAACAAGAGUGUUGUGUCAAUUGUUGUGAUUUUUUGGGGUUCGUUUGGACAUUUUUAUGCAUUAACUGAGUUUUCAAUGUAUUUAUAUGCAUAAUUCAAAUUUGAACUACAUGCACAUGCUCCAGUGCAUAUAAAUUGGUUGAAAAAUCAAAUCUAUGUCCUUGGGUGCAUGCUUAGGUCCCAUGAAAGAAAUGGGAAUGAAUUUCAAACAACAGGGCACCGUUGAUUGCCGGCAAAACAUUGAGUUACUUUGUUUUUAAAUUCUAGUAAAUCCAAAACUCGUCUAAAAUUCAUGAAACUUGGCAUGCUAUCAUGGAAUGGCACCCGACAUGUUGUGCUAUUUUUUGUGUCCAUUUUGAGAGAAGGCGCACUCGAAUAACAACCAAUAAAGGCAUUUUGAAAAAAUAGCUGCCACUUUAAUAUCUCAAACGUUUGUAUAAUUCAAACCGUGUGCGUUCUGUUAACCAUUCACGUGAUGCCAUGUGUCUUGGUUUUAAUGGCUAUAGGAGGUGCCGUGCGGACAGCUGAUUAACCUUGACUGAAUGGGAGGCGUGCGAGCGCAGUCCGGUGCGCAGGCUCACUGAGAGGCGUGCAAGCUGUCCUCCAAUGCUUAGGCUCACCGGGAAGCGUGCGAGUUGUACGCUACGUAGGAUCACUGGGAAGCGAGCCCUUUGACUUCCAUGGCCCCUCGCCUUCCUUUCCAUUAAUGGCGCCCGAGCCACUGAUUAAUACGGGCGGCCUUACUGUUCGCCUCCCAUUCCCCUCCCUCCCGUAGACCUCCACCAACGCCAUGGCGCAAAAGGAUCAUCUGCCACUAGUCUUCAAGUUUGGUGAAGUCGACUCCGAGCCGGAGGAGAUAGAAAAUAAGGAGGAAUGGGGCCUCAUGGACAUGGCCCAGAACGAGCUGGCCGCGGCGGUCGCUGCCCCCGCUCCCGUCCCAGCUCCCAUCCCCGCGCCCGCGCCAUCGACCAUCCACGUAGCAUUGACGGGCUGGUCGCCGAGCACUAUCGCAGAGCUGGAAGCCGCGGGCGUCAGAGACGUCUCCGCGGACCUGCGCGAGCUCGUGUACAUGCCAGCGCCCGUGCCCGUGCGCGCCCCUCCACCCACUGCGGCGCCGGUCCCUGUGCGUUUGGAUGCACCCGCCACGCCCGUGCCCGUGCGCGCGCCCCCCUCAGCGGCAUGGGACGCCGCCAUCGACCGGUACCUCUCAGCGCCGCUAGCUGCCGUCCUCCCGCGCCCCGCCCGUUGAUCGCGCGAUGACAUGAUGUUUGAUUUACAAGUGAAGAACAUUCUGUGCUGCAUUGAAGACUUCAACAACGGCGUCUCGGAGGACGACAACGACAACGACGGCGCGGCACGCCGCCUCCGCCGCUGCUGGAAAUAGUGUUUUCUCUUGGGUUCAAUACUGUAUCUCAAUCAUAUGAAUAUAAAUUCGCAGUAUGACUGAAUGAAAGAUAUGGUUUGAGCGAACUUGCGUUUUUCUCUCUUAAUGUACAGACUUAUCAAACGAUUUUCUUUUAAAAAAACUUCAAUGGUUUUUAAAUAUAAAACACUCGUCGCAAACGUUUUAGUUAGAACACUCGUAUGCAAACCAACAGCUUCCCCAGGAAGCCAAGGGAAAAUGUGCCGAGCAGGAUUUGUGCAGCACUUGAUCGCAAACGUUUUAGAUAGAACACCCGUAUGCAAAGUGAGAGCAGGAUUUGUACAUCUCUUCAACGCAAACGGUUCUUUUGAAUGACCCAUGUGCAACCACUUACAAACAAUUUGGUAAGAUUUGCAUCUGUCAUAUUGGGUAUGUUGCCAUUUGUCAAACUAGAAAGAUUGACAUUUGUUGAUCUAGUAACAUUGCCAUUUGUUAACCUUGUAACACUAUAAUUUGUCAAAGCAUGAAGCUAAAAAUCACUAGCAGUAUCUAAUUUUUGCAACUAAAAUUCAGUAAUUAAGCAUAGAUUUCAUUCAUAGAUUAAGCAGUCGUUCUUAAUUUAUACAAAUAGUUCAACUCGAUAGCUGAACCGACCAAACUUUUCCCCAAUUGUUGCCAACCACGUACUGAAAUAGCUAGUUCAACUAUAUAUACUAGCUAAUUUUAAGUACAUUGUACAGUUCCACCACAUCUAUAGUCAGAUGAACUGAACAAAAUAGCCCCUAAAUACUACUACUAUACGGAGGGGCUUUGUACUACUUCCGGCUACCUCUCCUCUGCCGAGCGCGCUCAGUAAGAGGCAGAGGAGGAUGAGCCUACCGACGAGCUGGGCAACCGCAAUACGGUGCCUGUCACUAUUGCAGCUUCAGCGACGCUCACCUCGAAUGCCCUAUGCCGCUCCAGACGACCCCUCUCGAAGCGGUGGUUCUCCUCGUAGAUCUCCUGAUUCCUCGCCUCUGAGGUGGCGGUAAGGCUCUUUGCGUGGUUGAUGAGGCGCUCCUCCUCCUCCUGCAGGAACUCGGUGUAGCGCGCAAGGUCGCUGACGCACAUGCGGGCAUCCACCUCCGCCUCCCGCCUUCGGGUGAAGGUGGCGGAGCGGGUGAUGACCCGGGCUGUUGAUGGUGGGCUGGCGGCCACGGCGGCCGACGAUGGGGUGGCGGCCACGACCACCACCUCCUGCCUUCGGGCCGCAGUGGCGGAGCGGGUGAUGGCCACAGUGGCCGGCAGUGGGGUGGCGGCCACGACGGCCACCUCCCGCCUUUGGGCCGCGGCGGCGGAGUGGGCGAUGGCCCUGGCUUUCGACGGUGGUGUGGCGGCAACGGCGGCCGGCAACAGCUACCGACGGGCAGCGGCGGCGGAGUGUGUGGUGGGUGUUCCGCCCACACCCAACAGGGACGCCACACGCACUACACUACACCGGGGACUGUGCCGCCGCCGCGGUGUAGCCUCCCAGUUGGAGUUGUCCUCUGAUGACGGCGGAGUGGCUGAGCGACGAAGAUGGACCGGUGCCAUUAGCGAUUGUAGGAGAAGCAGACGAGAUAAGCUACAGGGAGGGAGGGGAAAUGCAACGCAGGACUCGCCGGCCAUGAGGGUUUAUAUAGCAGGCCGGUAAGCAUUGGGAUUUUGGGGGAUUUCACCGGGUCAAGCGGGAAGCUUGCGCGGGAACCUGCGAGGUUGCGCGGGAACGGGCUUACCGACGAUUCAUUGGCGCCACUGUUUGGCAAAAAGAAUGCCCCCGCGCGCUAUGCAAGCUUGCGCUAUAAGCCGCCUGCGGCAGCGGGGUGACAAGACGUGCGAGAGAAGGACGAAAGGCCACGUACACAUACGGUUAAUAAAAAAACUUUUGUGAUUUAAUUACCUACUAUACGAAUGCAUGCACUAAGAUUUUGAUCAUAGUUUAUAAAAAUACAUGUCGCCAAAGAUUAUAUAGUUGGAUUCGUAUUUGAACAUAGUUUCCAAUUAUAUAAUUUUUAUAACAUGCAUUAACAUUUUGUUGGUUAAAUUUGAGGGCAAAGUAUGGCACAGAAUAUAAAGGGGACAAUAGACUAGACGGAGGUAGUAGCACACGGCCGCUACGCAGCAACGCAACUAUCGGUCGGCUUGUAGGCGACCAUUUCCUGCGUGUUCAACUGCUCUAUGCGCGUGGUUGCUUGCAGUUCAGACGGUCGCGACGCGCUCUGCUCACGUCCCGCCGCGCGCGCUCUGCUCUCGCGUCCCUCCGGGUGCUCUGCCCUCGUCCCUCCACGCACGCUGCUAGUGUUUGGGCCGGCGCAUGAUCACGCACAUUCGUGUGCAUGCGGUUGCACCGGGUGCGACACAACAAUGCAGUUACCCGCUGCAAAAACUGCCAUGCGAACGCGCAGAGAAUCCAGGCCGCCCAGCCCCCAUUUAUUCCUGCGGCCAUUUACCUUCAUCUCUCGCGUCACACUACACAAUAAGCACACCCACGACGACACAUACAGAGAGGACAUCCAGCGGUUCCAAUGGCGCUCCCUAUGGCUCCAAUGGCGCUCCCAGCGGUCGACGACGACGGCGGGCAGUUCACCACACAUCACGUAGUGGACACCCACGUGAGGGGGAAGGCCCUCUCGGUGGUGUACACGAAUGAUCCGGUCUUGGUGGAGAGCUCCAUCCAAACUAUGGAGCAGUUUCUUGCCGAGGACAAGUACCAAGUGGUCGGCUUCGACCUCGAGUACACCAUCGGUCGUGCCGGGCACGAUCAUAAGGUUGUCGUUGCCUAGUUGUGCGUGCGACAUGACGUCCUCGUCUACCACUACCACCUUGCCACAAGGCCUUGCGAGCAUUUCUCCAGGUUUAUCAACAACUCUGACUACAGUUUCGCUACGGUGGACACCACCAACGAUCUAAAAGCGCUCAAGGUUUCGGGCUUGAAAUGCCCGAAUCUUGUCCACAUCCAGCACCACUAUAAGGCCUGGGGUGGCGACAAAAACAAACUGAACUCCCUGGUUGACCUCGCCUCGGCCAUCAUCGACCCCUACUACAUGAAGAUGAAGAAUGAGAGCAAGAAGGACAAGAACGCCUGGCAUGUGGCAUGAGAGACUGGAUGGACAACAUGUCAAGUACGCGGCCAAGGACGCGUACACAAGCUACGAGAUGUACAGGCGGAUCGUUGACAUGAGGAAGUGUCUUCUUCCUGCCCCAGACGAGGGAUCGAGCCACAAAGCAGUGGCGGGAGCGUCACAAGAAGUAGAUGACUAGACGAUCGUUUCUCCUACUUUAGAAUGCAUGCAAUUGUUUAUUGAGGUGUGUGCGAAUGAUCUAUAUAGUCACUUAUGUAAUUGGAUGUUUAUUUCAGUUAAUAUACAUGUUAUUCUUCUGUAGACAUGGCAAAUCACACGGCUUAUUAGCAGCAAUCGUCUGUGUUAUUAUUGGUCUUCGCACACAUUUCUGAUUACGGACAUGUUUGUCGCGUAUCACACACAUCUUGUUCAGUUGAACCGUUUCCAUUGUGUUGCCUAAUCACACACAGUUCAUCCUACUGAACCGUAUGAUGUAUAUCGCACACACCUUCAUCUGGCUGCCCGUUUCUUUUGUUCCUCCUCAUCCCAAACAGUUAAUUGAACUGAACUGUAUGCCCUGCAUCGCACACGCAACUAAAAUCUGAACCGUGUUUGAUGCAUCUGUCAUCGCAAAAGUUUUGCACCUUUUUUGACGGGUUUUUUAGACCACAGUUUGCGAUUAUGGCAUCGCACACAGUUUCGUCAAAGGGUCUCUGAUCGUAGUGUCGCGUUUGGACCAUCCUGUAUGGCUGUGUACAAGACCUGUUGGGUCCACCUGAGAAGGGGAAUAUGUUGGAAGGAAGGAUAUUCAAAGCACGGCAACCGAGUGAACUAGUUACAUACAUAAGCAAAUAGCCACUAAAAAAAUCAAACAGGUUAAUGGGUUCUUAGAAGAAAUAUUUCGGACAAAACAGAUAAUUACGACACAUAGGCUAAUGCAUGAAACACUCAGAUGAUAAAGGUGCUUAAAUAGAUAAAGUACAACAUCUAGACCUUCCUGGCAUGCUUGAUCAUGAUGCUGCGGCUGUCCUUAUACUCGUCGGUUACGGGAAGCAGACAUGCCCUCAUGUCCAAGAUCCCCCUGUACAUGUCGUAGCAUGCGUAUACGUCCUUGGCCGCGUAGGUUAUGUAGGCUAGAUUCAGAGGUACCUCCCACGUGUUCAGGUCCUUGGUAUCGUUGUCUUCUUUCAUUUUGGCGUAGCAGGGGUCGAUGAUGGCCUCGACGAGGCAUCAGAGGGGUCGACAAGCUUGUUGCACCAUAUGGCCGAAUCGUCGCGUUCUUCCUUCUCUCCACCGUAGCGAAGGUGCAGUCGGCGCUGCCGAUGAAACAGGCGAAUGCUCCAGAACCUCUGAUGGCCCUACAUUAGUGGUAGACGAGAACCUCGUCCUGCACGCAUACCUGGGCGACGGCGAUCCGCUGGUCCCUAUCAGGAGACAAAUGGAUGGGCACAAGGUCUAGUCCUGUGACCUUGUGCUUUCUCGUCCUGUAGGUACUGCUUGAACUAGGCGAGGUAGAGCUUCACCAAGUCCGAAUCGUUGGUGUACAUCACAUUCAACUUGGUGCAGCCAUGGGACUGAACGGCGAACUCAAAGGUGAACUCCUUACUGAAGUCCAUAUCCAGCAGGCUCACCCCUCGGAUCGCCAUUGGAGUCUCUUCAAGUGAACGAGUGGGUAGGCGGCGGCGGCAGUUCGGUUUUUAGCUCUUGGAGAACUGGAUUCAACAGUAAACUGAGUGUGUACAUGCGACAACAGUUACUGCCCCUCCCUCGCCCGCUGCACGCCCGGCAGAACAUGCACCAUCGGCGCAUUCAAAUGCCUCCAUUAAGAAACCUAUUCCGGCCACACGUCGGUUCACGAGCGGGUCUGUAUUGGUACUGUAAUAACAAGUGUUAGUGGUCACUUUACAUAAAUUUAAUUAGUUUUAAUAGAAAUUUAUUCUUAAAACAACCAAUGCAUUUGCUCGUUCUAUCAGUGCCACAGGAUCAACAUGCACAAUAAUUAGAAUUAUUAUUCUUAGGACGUACACGAUCAGCACAUUUGUUGCACUUUCACACAGAUAAUACUACCAAGUUUGAACUGUUUGUUAUAGUUGUUGUCCUUUGCAUCAUCAUGCCGUGUUUCUCAGCUUGUAAGAUUCAGAACCAACAAAUAAGAUUCAAAUAAUAAGUACAAUAAAGAUGCCUACACAUCUCAUUGAUCCCAGCUUGCAAGAUUUAGAACCAACAAAUAAGAUUCCAAUAAUAAGUACAGCAAAGAUGUCUACACAUCUCAUUGAUUCCCAGCUUGCAAGAUUCAGAACCAACCCAUUAGAGCCUUUUGAUAAAGUGAAUAUCGGGAUUAAAUCCAUCUUGGCUAGUCGUGUCAUACAACCCAAGAACUUGGCGGAUGCUCUUGACCAUCACAACAUUUGUAGUUGAGUAUUCCUGUUUGCACAACACAGAUAAUAAAGAGCAUGAUUACUAUAAUAGUGACACUAGUGGAAGUCAAUCUACAGCUCCACUCGAUGAUUUAAUUCAUGCCACUUUUUCUGCAGUUCACCUGAAAUGAAGCAAAGAUUGCAUCAUUCAACUAGCAAGAAGUACUUGCUCUCGUGAGCUGACAGGUUCUUCUUUAGUAGUUGCACAAAAAUUGAGCAACAUUAAGGUUGGCUGUCCUGCUCAUGUGCUCUAAGAGCAUCUCCAGCCGCGCCCCCAAUAGGCCCCCCAGGCCACUUUUUCGGCACCGGCGCCAAAAAACGCCCCAGUCGCGCCCCCAGGACGCCGAAAAGUGCCGGUUCGGCCCGUUUUUGGGCCCGGCGGCCGCAGGCCGAACCCGGCGCACUGGGGGGCGAUCAGGGGCUCUGGCGCAAGGGAAAAGCACGGUUGGCCCACACCGUCAGGUGAAAAGUCAAGUUUUUCUUCCCCGACUCGCCUCCCACCCCCCGCGCCCUCGGCCGCCACUAGCUGUAUCCCAGCGCCGCCCGCCUCCCUUCACCGCUAGAUAGCCAAUCCCCGCCGGAAAAAUAGCAGAGGUUCGCCUCCUCCACCAGCAGCUGGGCGUUUCCGCCGCCGUUUUCGGCCGCGGAGGGGUAGUUUAGCGGCGGGGUACACGCCCACCGGGCGCAAGGUGUUCGGCGAUUUGCCUGCCUCGGUGAUGGACUCGGAUGACGAGGAAGCGCUCGCCGCACUGCUGGAGGAGGAAGCCGAGGCCGACGUCCAGGAAGAAGAGCAUCUCAUUGAAGGAAAUAUGCCCUAAAGGCAAUAGUAAAGUUAUUAUUUAUUUCCUUAUAUCAUGAUAAAUGUUUAUUAUUCAUGCUAGAAUUGUAUUAACCGGAAACAUAAUACUUGUGUGAAUACAUAGACAAACAGAGUGUCACUAGUAUGCCUCUACUUGACUAGCUCGUUAAUCAAAGAUGGUUAUGUUUCCUAACCAUGGACAAAGAGUUGUUAUUUGAUUAACGGGAUCACAUCAUUAGGAGAAUGAUGUGAUUGACUUGACCUAUUCCGUUAGCUUAGCACUCGAUCGUUUAGUAUGUUGCUACUGCUUUCUUCAUGACUUAUACAUGUUCCUAUGACUAUGAGAUUAUGCAACUCCCGUUUACCGGAGGAACACUUUGUGUGCUACCAAACGUCACAACGUAACUGGGUGAUUAUAAAGGUGCUCUACAGGUGCUUCCAAAGGUACUUGUUGGGUUAGCGUAUUUCGAGAUUAGGAUUUGUCACUCCGAUUGUCGGAGAGGUAUCUCUGGGCCCACUCGGUAAUACACAUCACUAUAAGCCUUGCAAGCAUUGCAACUAAUGAGUUAGUUGCAGGAUGAUGUAUUAUGGAACGAGUAAAGAGACUUGCCAGUAACGAAAUUGAACUAGGUAUUGAGAUACCGACGAUCGAAUCUCGGGCAAGUAACAUACCGAUGACAAAGGGAACAACGUAUGUUGUUAUGCGGUUUGACCGAUAAAGAUCUUCGUAGAAUAUGUGGGAGCCAAUAUGAGCAUCCAGGUUCCGCUAUUGGUUAUUGACCGGAGACGUGUCUCGGUCAUGUCUACAUAGUUCUCGAACCCGUAGGGUCCGCACGCUUAAAGUUCGAUGACGGUUAUAUUAUGAGUUUAUGUGUUUUGAUGUACCGAAGGUAGUUCGGAGUCCCAGAUGAGAUCGGGGACAUGACGAGGAGUCUCGAAAUGGUCGAGACAUAAAGAUCGAUAUAUUGGACGACUAUAUUCGGACAUAGGAAAGGUUCCGAGUGAUUCGGGUAUUUUUCGGAGUACCAGAGAGUUACGGAAUUCGCCGGGGAGUAUAUGGGCCUUAUUGGGCUUUAGGGGAAAGAGAGAGGAGAGGCUGCGCCCCCCCCCCCCCCAAGGCCUAGUCCGAAUUGGACUAGGGGGAGUGGCUGCGCCCCUCCUUCCUUCUCUUCUCUCUUCCCUUUCCUUGACUCCUACUCCUACUACUUGGAAGGGGGGAAUCCUACUCCCGGUGGGAGUAGGACUCCUCCAGGGCGCGCCAUAGGGGCCGGCCCUCUCCCCCCUCCUCCAUUCCUUUAUAUACGUGGCCAGGGGGCACCCCAUAGACACAACAAUUGAUCUCUUGAUCUCUUAGCCGUGUGCGGUGCCCCCCUCCACCAUAAUCCACCUCGAUUAUAUCAUAGCGGUGCUUAGGCGAAGCCCUGCGUCGGUAGAACAUCAUCAUCGUCACCACGCCGUCGUGCUGAUGGAACUCUCCCUCAAAGCUCGGCUGGAUCGGAGUUCGAGGGACGUCAUCGAGUUGAACGUGUGCAGAACUCAGAGGUGCCGUGCGUUCGGUACUUGGAUCGGUCGGAUCGUGAAGACGUACGACUACAUCAACCUCAUUGAUAUAACGCUUCCGCUAACUGUCUACGAGGGUACGUAGACGACACUCUCCCCUCUCGUUGCUAUGCAUCACCAUGAUCUUGCGUGUGCAUAGGAAAUUUUUUGAAAUUACUACGUUCCCCAACACUCAUGGCGCUCGCCGCCCUCGCCCAGCUGCUGGCGAGCAAUGAAAAGCCGCGACGAGGUGGCUCGGUACCGGGGCGGGUGAAAGCAAAGAACCGGCAUCGUCUCGAAGGCUACUGCAUGCUCUACUCCGACUACUUCGCCGAUGCUCCACUUCACGGCGACAAAACAUUUCGGCGCCAUUAUCGGAUGAGCCGAAAGCUAUUCCUCGGGAUUGUGAAUUCCAUCCGGGAGUUCGACAGCUACUUCAAGCGCAAGAUGGAUUGCACCGGCAAACUUGGAUUCACCUCGAUCCGGAAGUGCACGACAGCGAUGAGGAUGCUUGCAUACGGAGCUCCCGGUGAUUCACUCGACGACUAUGGGCGCAUGGCCGAGUCCACCAGCAUUGAGUGUUUCUACAAGUUCUGUCGGGCAGUGGUGGCAGUGUUUGGACCGCAAUACUUGAGAACACCCAAUGCGGAAGACACUGCUCGGAUCCUAGCACAGAAUAUAGCAAGAGGAUUUCCUGGGAUGCUUGGAAGCAUCGACUGCAUGCAUUGGAAAUGGGAGAACUGCCCAUUUGCUUGGCAGGGGAUGUACAAAGGCGCCAAAGGAGGUUGCAGUGUGGUACUUGAGGCGGUGGCCACACAGGACCUCUGGAUUUGGCACUCCUUCUUUGGUAUGCCAGGAACUCACAAUGACAUCAACAUGCUGCAGUGCUCCCCUGUCUUUGCCAAGCUUGUUGAAGGUCAUUCUCCUCCGGUGAACUUCGAGGUCAAUGGGUGCCACUACAACAAGGGGUACUACCUAGCUGAUGGCAUCUAUCCGAGAUGGUCUACAUUUGUGAAGACUAUCUCAAACGUUGUGCCAGGAGGCAAGAAGUCCCACUUUGCCAAGGUGCAGGAGGCUUGCUGGAAGGAUGUUGAGCGGGCAUUUGGUGUGCUCUAAUCUCGAUUUGCUGUUGUCCGGUACCCUGCUCAGACCUGGUCGAAAGAUCAAAUGUGGGAGAUCAUGACUUGCUGUGUCAUCUUGCACAACAUGAUCAUCGAGAGCGAGCAAGAAGAGCCAGUGUUUGAUACUGAACCAUACUACAGGCAGGGUCCUCUAGCCGAAGUUGAUCACCAGCUACCGGCAACCUGGACUGCCUACCUCACUAUGCGUCAGGAGAUCCGAGACCCACAGGUGCAUCAUCAACUGCAGCAGGAUCUGAUGGAUCACCUAUAGAGGCUCAAGGGCGAAGCCGGGCGCGACGUGUGAUGAGUUUUUAUUUGUUGAACUAUAUAAUUUGUAUUGAAUGAUUUGUUGUUGCACUAUUUUGUUGAAGUAUUUGAUUUUCUAUGAUGAACUAUGUGAUAAAAAAAUAUUUAUGUUGAUAAUUGAACGCCGAACCACGACGAACCGCGCCGAAUAUGGGCAUAUUCUCGCCCAUAUGGGCCCUUUAUUCGCCGAAAGUGGGCCGAAAAAUGAGGCAAUAUCGGUGCCUGGGGGCGACGGUUGGAUACCCAACCGCCUCCAGCGCCGAUUGUAUCGCCGGCUCGCCCCAGGGGCGAUUUUUAUGCGUCCUGGGGAGUCAACGGCUGAAGAUGCUCUAAAAAGCAGAGCUGAAGAGAGCAGUGCCGGCGCCAGCCCUCGUGUCUCCGCCAGAGAACAGGGGCAAGGAAAGGUGAAAAGGCUUUACUUUUUCCUUUUGCGAAUGAAAAAGGCUUUACUUCAACUGCCAUGAUUCAGAAGUCCUCAGCUUCCUGACGACCCGUUAUUGACAAUCUUUAUAUGGCCAGCUCAUAACGUUUAACUUUGUCGAGUCACCCCCGAAACUCCGAUCGGAACGGUGCUCUGCUCGACGUCCAGAGGAUGGAACGCAGAAUAUCCAUCGAGCGGGCAUUACAUCAACAAUACAGGAUGGAUGUACAUUGCAACAAAUAAUCACAAAAGAAAUAAAAAAGGAAACUAUAUGCGAUCAGGCACAUGACAAAGGAAGGGUCACAUGAACGAAGAAGAGAAAAGCCACAUAUCGACCGGAAUAGCGAAGUGUGGGAGCCGCGAUGGCGGGCACUGGCAGCCAUACAUUGGGCUAUCCAAAAUCUCAUCUCUCGCCCAAUCGCGGCCUCACGAUCUCAAUUCCCACCCCGCGUGCACCACAAGCUCCAAUCCCCUAACUCGUAUAUACAGCCACGCCCGCCUCACCGUCCUUGAUCUUCCCCCCUAUCUGAUCAGAUCCUUUGGACAUGGCGUCGCCCAUGCUCUCCACCGCCAUGGCGCCACUCCAGGUAUGUCCACGUUCCAUUCCAUGCUUGCGUCCUACAGUUCUUCCAUGUUUGUCACGCACGGUUAUGUAAGUGAUUUGCGUCCAACUCGAUCCAGGGGGGCAUGCUGGAGUUCUCCGGGCUGAGGAGCUCGUCGUCGCUGCCGCUCCGGCGGAAUGCCACCUCCGACGACUUCAUGUCCGCGGUCUCCUUCAGGACAUACGCGGUAUGACAUGAUCGGUGGAAUGUAGCUUGCUUGGUCGCGUGCCAUGGGAGCGUGUGUGCGUGACGCGGCGGUGCUGUGCUUGCAGGUGAGCACCAGCGGCGGGUCGCGGAAGGCGCCGACGGAGGCCAAGCUCAAGGUGGCGAUCAACGGGUUCGGGCGCAUCGGGCGCAACUUCCUGCGGUGCUGGCACGGGCGCGGCGACAGCUCGCCGCUGGAGGUGAUCGCCAUCAACGACACCGGAGGCGUGAAGCAGGCGUCCCACCUCCUCAAGUACGACUCCACGCUGGGCAUCUUCGACGCGGACGUCAAGCCCGUGGGCGACAACGCCAUCUCCGUGGACGGCAAGGUGAUCAAGGUGGUGUCCGACCGCAACCCCUCCAACCUGCCGUGGGGCGAGAUGGGCAUCGACCUCGUCAUCGAGGGCACCGGCGUCUUCGUCGACCGCGCCGGCGCGGGCAAGCAUCUCGAGGCCGGCGCCAAGAAGGUGCUCAUCACCGCACCCGGCAAGGGCGACAUCCCCACCUACGUCUGCGGCGUCAACGCCGACCUCUACACCCACGCCGACACCAUCAUCAGCAACGCCUCCUGCACCACCAACUGCCUCGCCCCCUUCGUCAAGGUGCUCGACCAAAAGUUCGGUACGUGCCCGUCCCCUCUGUCUCUCAAGUCUCCACUGAAUCAACUUCUUUAAGUAACUAAAAAAAUGGCGGCGGCUAUGGCGCAGGCAUCAUCAAGGGAACCAUGACCACCACCCACUCAUACACCGGCGACCAGAGGCUACUGGACGCGAGCCACCGCGACCUGCGCCGUGCCCGCGCCGCCGCGCUCAACAUCGUGCCCACCUCCACCGGCGCGGCCAAGGCCGUGGCGCUGGUGCUCCCCAACCUCAAGGGCAAGCUCAACGGGAUCGCGCUCCGGGUGCCCACCCCCAACGUGUCCGUCGUCGACCUCGUGGUGCAGGUCUCCAAGAAGACCCUCGCCGAGGAGGUGAACCAGGCGUUCCGCGACGCCGCCGCCAACGAGCUCAAGGGCAUCCUCGACGUCUGCGACGAGCCGCUCGUGUCCGUCGACUUCCGGUGCUCCGACGUGUCCUCCACCAUCGACGCGUCGCUCAGCAUGGUCAUGGGCGACGACAUGGUCAAGGUCAUCGCGUGGUACGACAACGAGUGGGGUUACUCCCAGAGGGUCGUCGACCUCGCCGACAUCGUCGCCAACCAAUGGAAGUGAACGCCGGACGGCGGCGGCAUUGCCCUGUGAAGUGACUCCUCUCGAAAUUUUCCCCAGCCAUCGUCACGGAUGAUCGAUUCUUUGUAAUGAGAAUUCAGAGUAUCGAGCUCCCAACAGCUUCUUUUUUUUUCCUUUCUUUUCUUGUUCUUCUUUUUUCUUUCUCUGAUUUUUCAGUGUCCAGACACGGAUUAUAAUAGACUUCCUGCAAAGGAAGUCUCAACGCUGUGCAUCUGUAAUAUAUACGUACUAUCGUUUGCCAGGUUCUGAUGUAGAAUUCAACUUGUUCUUCGAACAUUUCCAUCGUUUUGACCUUUACUGCUAUCUAAACAUGCAUGAUCAACUCAGAAAGAAAAGUUUGAACCAUACACGAAAGUUACCAUAAAAUGAAAAGUUUGAACUUCUGAUGGGAAUUGCAAAAUUUAAGGGAGCACAACCAUGCAGCCCAUUAUCAGAGUUUUUAUGUUAUUUUUGCGAAAACUCAUUAUCAGAGUUAUCCACACAAAUUGAUUCACAAGAUAAGAGAUUGCGAUCUGCGAACCUAGGUGGAUGAUGAUGGCAUGAACUACUUAGAGAGUAGACCCACAACUUUUGUGGGUCGUAUUUUCGUUGGACAUCAUGGUUCACAUGUUUGCCAUCCUAUAUGCUUGGUGCCAAUCAGAGCGUGUGAGUGGUCAAGAAUAUAUGGAAAUCAUGAGGGAUAAAUAUUGCUGACCAUACAAUGCACAGACCACAGGGGUGUCGUUCCGCUCUGAAGCACUCAAAUGGAUCAAAACAUCUCGAAUCUCUAUACCCAAAUGGCCCGUGUCUAACUUAAUAGAAUCAAGAUAUUUAGAAUUCAGAGUUGAGCUCUCUCUACUCAAUGCCCCAUGAUGAGACAUAUGCAGUCUUUAUCGAUGAAAUAGCAAGUACUAAGAACCAUUCAAGUAAAUUCUAGUACAAGCUAACAUGAUAUAUUGAACUUCAACCAGGGUUCUUCGGAUGACACUAAAUACACUAAGUGAUGGCACUUUCAGGAAAAGAAACACUACUCUAAAGGAAAAUUCAGAGAGUAGUUUUUGCUAAGGAAAGUACAUUCCCCAAACACUCUCUUGCAGAACACCUUUUUAAGGCUGCGUUCGGUUUCUCUCGGCUCGUUUAACUCCGCUCCGGGAGUGGACCAGACUUUAGCUUAAUUUUAUGGAGCUGCCAAAACCCAGCUCCCCAACUCCACGGAGCGGGCAAGUUCCGAACAGGGCCUAAGAAUCACUCUAGCACUGAGGUGUUACCCUCUCUGCUUCAACCGCUGCCAUUGAAAAGGUUCCAAUCAUGGACAUCGAAGUUCAUCACUGCAAGUCUGAAGACCUCCGACAUUGGCAAGCAUCCUGCUUGUUCUGCGGGUACUGCUGGUCCAGCUGCAACUGCCUGGGCACUUUCACUCAAAGGACUGAAAUAAAAAUGACAGAAAAACUUAUCAUUCAAGGGGCAGCCUGUAACAUUGGAGAAGUGGGCAGCACAAACAUAAUACCUGAGCUUAAAAUAAAGGCAUCGAUAACCUAGCUAGUCGUUAACUUGGAUAUGUUAGCCCAUACUAGUUUUACUUGCUUUCACUCAGAUCUACGACUAUCUCCACAUUACUUGUGAAUUUGUUAUGCAUCAUUAUACCGUUUCAUCUGUAUUUCAGCUGAAUAUAAUCUAGUUUUGGCAUUUUGGUCUCCCCGUACUACUAUUAUAGCAUUCAACAUGACUAGCCUAGGUAGAAAACUGAAGGAACUACAUGAGGCCCUGAGCACAACAGGCUUCUGUUUCAUCAACCGAGCAAGUUUUUUUUUCCUAUUUUAGUUCUGCCAUUGACCAUACUGCUACGAUAAUACAGCUUCAUUCAACACGUGUAGCCUAGAUAAAGAGCUGAAAAAAAAUUGAGCAGGGCAGGAUUGUCGUUCUUUAUUAUAAAGAUGACAGAGAUAACUAGAUAAGGGAGUUUAAAACCCACAUGAUUAGUAAGCAUAAUUGCUACUGCAUAAGAAGUUAUGAUCGUCAUUCAAACAUGUCGAUAUAGAUCAGAUUUAUGCAAGUUAAGAUUAUACCAAAUAAUACAUAAUUCUCCUAAGCACAUCGCUGUGUAAAAUCAAGUCAUACAAAGAUUAAUAAAUGGUGAUAAACAGUACUCUACUAAAGAGAACUACAUCAGUUGAUACUCCAUAAAAGAUUAAUCUUACCGGAGUAUUAGCUAUGAUGAUAAAUCUGAACAAGACUUUAUACUUGAGAAAGUAACAAAAUAUUAUAAAAGACUGGUUUAUAAAAUUCCAUUAAACAGAGGAAGUAUGUCAUAGUGAACUUACUUUAUCAAGAGCGGCUCAUAUGCAGUGAUAACUACAUCAGUUGCUGCAUUCUUGAGACGUAUGUUUGCCAAGUAAAGCUGCAAAGGUAGCCCAACGCUCAGUUGAAAAAACAAACAUUAACUGUUGAACCAUAAUUCCAAGGGAUGGGUGUACUCACCCGAACAAUGUUCUGUGCUUCUCUGCCCUGCCUCCCUUUUGAAACAGCCUACAGAUGCCGAAAUCAAGCGUGAGAUCCUUAAGAAAAUUUUAUUCACUGCCGGUGUGAAGUGGCCAUCAUAUAAUGAAUGCCAAGGAACAGAAAUAUCAAAUUAUGAGACUGAGCUGACUUGUGCAACUAAAGCUAUCAUAUCCAGGGAAGCACAGGUGAAAACUAAUCGACUGGAGGUCGAUUGAAGGCAAGGAGCAGGGUAAUCUGGAUAUGGCACAGGACGUUUGCUUACCAGCUUGCCAAUUGCAGUUCCAGCCACUGCAGGUGCUUCCCCGGAGCGCAGACCAGCUAGCUCAACUGUCCCAGAGUGCUCGACCACCUAACCGACAAAAAAAGAGGUAAGUUACCAACAUGAGUAAAAUCCACUUGGAUCGGAAAUUUAACAACCGUGAGUUCAUGACCAUUCAAUGCACAUGAAGCAGGCAAAGAAUUCGUGAGUACAGCUGCUUUUAUUGUCGAAAGAAGAAUACGGUUGUUGUUUUGGACAGAAAGCCAAGCAGGGAGAACUGUUGUUUAAUGGCAAUGAAUCGAAAUUUAUAGGGCCAAGUGGCCAAGCUAUUCACAGAGUGAAGCCAGGACAUUACCAAGUUAUCCCCCGCAUCUUGCUCGUUGGCGACGUCGCGCAGGAACCAGAGCGCGCUGCCGCCAUCCUCCACCUCGCCCUUGAGGUCGAGCAGCUCGAAGAUGAGGCUCUCUUCACGGGCGGGAUCGACGAAAACUUCCUGGUUACGCAGCAGAACCACACACAUCGAUCAGUAAGGGAACGAAUCAACCAGCGCGCUCCAAACGAGACCGUGUAAGGGGGAAUCGGACGAACCUGGUGGUCGGGGACCUCGCGAAUGUUGCUCACAUCCUGACCAAACCAAACAGUACCAAAACUAAACAGAAACGGCAUCAGCGGGAGCAGGAGGAGGAGGAGCAAGCGAUGUGUGCGAUGGAGAAGGGCCUUGCAGUACCUGGAACCGGGCGGGGAAGGCGGUGGAGAUGGCGCCGCCGAAGAGGGGGCGCCUGGUGCUGCUCUCGCCGGCCAUCUUGGCAAGGGAGUCCUGUGACUAGACAGCAAAACAAGGUUCUGGAGCGUAGGAGAAGACGGGGGUGGGGGAGAGAGCCGGAGAGGGUCGGGCGGGUUCGCGAUUCGAGCGAGUUUAGGCUGGUUGUAAUGUAUCAUACUCCAGUAUCAUGCAUGCAUGCCAACUACUCCCUCCGUUCCUAAAUAUAAGUCUUUGUAGAGAUUUCACUAGGUGAACUACAUACGGAGCAAAAUGAAUGAAUCUACACUUAAAAUGCAUCUAUAUGCAUCCGUAUGUGGUUCAUAGUGGAAGCUCUACAAAGACUUACAUUUAGGAACGGAGGGAGUAGACAAUUUUGAUGAGGUGUCAUUGAAUUAAAUGGAGAAAGAGAGGAUUGAGUAUCAUAUCAUGAUACCGUAUCAUAAUAAAUGCUAUGCUACUAGGAGUAUGUGUCAUACAUGACAAUAAAUAAAGUACUACAUGAUACUUUCUCUGUUCACAAAUAUAAGACGUUCUAGACUGACCAUACAAGUCUUAAAACGUCUUAUAUUUAUGAACAGAUGGAGUACUAGUAUAUGACUCCCUCCAUUUCUAAAUAUUUGUUUUUCUAGACAUUUCAACAAGUGACUACAUACGGAGCAAAAUGAGUAAAUCUACACUCUAAAAUAUGUCUAUAUACAUCCGUAUGUGAUAGUUCAUUUGACAUCUCUAAAAAGACAAAUAUUUAGAAACGGAAGAAGUACUAUGCAUUAGGGAGGUAGUAUCAUACACCAAUACCAUAUGCAUUAUACGAGUGUAUGGAUUGAGUAUAUGAUACUCUCAUUACAACCAGCCUUAUAAGCGGCCGUGGGUGGUUUUGCCAAUGUGGCGCCUGACCAGUGGGACCAAGACCGGUUCGACCCAGCUAGCUCCUUCCUCUGCUUCGAGCCUUCGACCCACCCAGCCUCUGUCUUCGCGGCCCCCUCAGUUCUCUCCCUGACGACGACGGCCGCGGGACGGACGGCGAUCAGCGGCAUUAACUGAGCGUUGGGAGCCGGCGACACGUGCAGGUUCGUAACCACAUCCGAUUCUGUGUGAGAAGUGAACCACUAUGUGCUUGAUUACUCUGUUCUAAGUAGGGUUUUGGGGGAUUUCAAAAUCAACAGAGAUGGUCGUUUUCUUCUUGUUUUCAUUCAUUCAGUGGUGCAUCUGGUAAGUGCGGCCGUGCUGGGAAGCCAUGGUUUUGUUUUGGUUUAGGGUUAGUUGACUUAUGGCUGGUUUGGUUUUAACUGAACUAAAAGGGGGUAUUUUGAUUCACAGUUUUUUUUUCAUAGGUUUGAGCCAUGGAUCCGCUCGACUAUCUGUGCAUCAGGUUUCAGUUCAGAGGACAAUUUGAACAUGAUGGAACAGAUCAACAGAGUGGCAGCAUGUGAAUGGAAUACAAAGGCCUUUCAACACUCGAGCACCACAAGGUUAGCCUUGAAGAGCUUAAGAAGAAACUUAACAUGUGUCUUGUUCAGAUAAGCAACUGCAGGAAACCAAUUUGCAUUGGAAGUUCAAUGGGCUGAUUAGAGAUAGCCAAAUGACUGGUGCUCUGGUGACAUGAUCAACAAUCUGUCCUGGAGAUGGCCAAACAUGUCAAGGCCUCAACGGGAUCGCUCCGGGUGCCCACCCCCAAACGUAUCCGUGGUCGACCUCGCGGUGCAGGUCUCCAAGAAGACCCUCGACGAGGAGGUGAACCAGGCGUUCCACGACGGCGCGGCCAACGAGCUCAAUGCCUUCCUCGACGCCUGCCAUGAGCCGCUCGUGUCCAUUGAUUUCAGGUGCUCCGACGUGUCCUCCACCAUCGACGCGUCGCUCAGCAUGAUCAUGGGAGACGACAUGGUAAGGUCAUCGCAUGGUACGACGAGUGGGGUCGCUCAGCAUGGUCAUGGGAGACGACAUGGUAAGGUCAUCGCAUGGUACGACGAGUGGGGUUACUCCCAGAGGGUAGUCGACCUCGCCGACACCAUCGCCAACCAAUGGAAGUGAACGCCGCAUUGCCCUGUGAAGUGACUCCUCAAAAUUUUCCCCAGCCAUCGUCACGGAUGAUCGAUUCUUUGUAAUGAGAAUUCAAAGUGUCAAGCUCCCAACAGCUUCUUCUUUCUUUUGUUUUCUUCUUUCUUUCUCUGAUUUUAUACAACAACACGUAAAUCAUUGCAAUGCAUUAUCCCAUUAUUAUUUCUACUGGUAUGCAUAAAGAUUAAGUGAGCAUGUCAACUUGUCCCAACGCAUCAAGCGCUCAAUUUUAACCUCAUGCAGCCACAAACAGUAUCUAUGAGCUUAUCCAAUUCCAAAAAAUGUCAAAAUACUCUGAAAAUUUACUAAAUAUUUUCUCCAUUAGACAAACACUUCACAUAGCUUCAAUUCAAAGGAAAGCAAGAGUACUACUGAAUUAUAGUUCAGAGGAUUUGCAAACUAGUACUACUAGUAGACCGCCCGUGCGUUGCUACGGGCUACAAUACAAUGCAUAUAAAUGAAUUAAACAAAUGACUAAAGUUGUCUUCAAGGUCGAAGCUCAUUUCUUCCUUGUAUAUUUGGGCAUGUUUGGACAUCAAACGGAACAGACAGCCGGUAGGCUGCAACAUAGCUAACACUUUAUUUGCAAUCAACCACUCUCUUCCCAUCACAUCCUUUCUUCCUAUCAUUGUAGCCCAAUUGUUGAGCUCCCUCCAUAGUCACACAUUUCCUCACACCGCCAGCCCGUGAACCACGUUGGGGGACACCCGAAGACAACCGUCCUUAUCGUCGCCCUCUCGCUAGGAGGGACAAAAAGCGAGGCAUAAACAUACACAUACGUAAGUUAAUUCAUUAUUUCAUUAAUUGAUUACUUAAUAUGAUGUCUUGUAUCCUCUACAUGGACAAAAAAUACAACAAAAAUAUUAUCUUCAUUCUACAGAAUGAAAUUGAAAACUUGUGAACAAAAUCACAAAUAAGUGUUGAAAAGUAAGAAAACAUGAGGAUCCUUAAAUUGGUGAUACGAUUUACAUGAUACUAACUCCUUCCCAUAUACAUAGGUCCCCUAUCAAAAUACUGACAAAAAGGAGAAGUGAUUAAUGCCCAUCUCAUGGGCCUCGCAUACUUGGACAGACGAUGUAAAUGAAAUCCAUAUAUUAGCUAAUUAUAAGGUGCUUCCAAUCAAAACAAAACAUUUAUAAGGGAAGGGGCUACUACAACUUGUACAGUCCUGAGCCACCACGCUGCUAACAUACUCAUUGUCCAGUGUAUGCAAGUCAUCUCUUCCUCUCCCCAUCACAAGUGACAUGUUCAAACUCCAAAGUCGAUGGAUUGGAUCCUUCAAUGCGAAGACACCAAAUUUUGAACUCCAAGGUGCAACCUUGCAGCCUUCACAUGAUGCAGUAUAUUGGCCAAGGUAUCAUACUAUCAAAUUUAGAUCCGAUUAUAUUUUUAUACCUCUCAUAACAUAGAGAUUGACAAGAUAUGAUGAUUAUCACUUGAGAAUAUAUACCAGCAACAAAAACAUCCACAAAAUAUAAACACAUAUCACUUUUAAAAAGGUAAAACUUUGAGACACAGCAAAACACUAUAUGCCUAGAUGUAAAAAAUGACAAAAGGAGAAUAGGAAUAAAUAUGAAGACAUGUAGUAUUUGAACCGGAGCUCACAUGCUCCUUGAUGAACUGUAAAAUCCGAAAACACAGUAAAAAUAUAUUAAAAAUCUGAUUUUUUUAAUAAAAAUUUAUGAAAGUUUUAACUUCUUGCAAAUGCUUUUGAUGAAAUGACAUUCGUGUAGGUCUGGGCAAAAAAAAUCGACGCUCCAAAAGAUUUGUUCUCGGAAGCAUUUUGGAGCAUCGAUUUUUUUCUUUUUGUCCAGACCUCCACCAAUGUUAUUUCAUCACCAAAAUUUGCAGGAAGUUAAAACUUUCAUCGAUGUUUAAAUCCAGAAUUUUUUUGAAUUCUUUAACUAAUUUUUUGGAUUUUACUGUUCAUCAGGGAGAUUGUGAACUCGGGAUCAAAAGAGCACUUUCGUAAAUAUGAGUGGAAUUAAAUAGGGCUAAGAGCUAAUAGCUUAUGUACAUCUGGAGAAGCCAAUAUUGUAAGUUUAGUGCAAGGAAGUUUCUGCGGAAAAUGAAGUUAUUUAGUAAAAAUGAUAUCUUUUUACGCCGUGCCGUCCAAUCCCCUAACACUCAUUAUCAUGGCUCAUCCAUAUCUUUCGGUUUCAACAGAAUAAAGUUACCGCUAAUUAGAAGCUCGCCAUCUUCCCUGAACAUUGCAUUGUAAUUUCUAGAUUGAAAUACCUAUGAGUUUGCCAUUUCUUAUGAUAAAUGUAAAUUCUUAAUACUGAAUGAUAAUUUUGUUCAUAAUUCUGCAUUAAGUUUCUAAACCAGAAUUUUGCAUACAUACACAAAAUAGUUAUGUAAAUUUUGUUAAGUGACAAAACAUGGUAAAUAUGGAAGAUGGUAGAACCUGGAGUACAUGAUUGGAGAUAAUUCAAGUGUUUGUAGCCAACAAUUCUGAACAUGUACACACACUGCUGAAUUGAUAGGAAGCAAAACUCACCGGUGGUCUAAGACUUCUCGUCACCAGGCACAUCUCCUCUUCGCGUGAACGGCCUUCGGCGUCGCCAAAGCAAUAACCUCCAGCUCAUUCUUGGCCAUAACCUUCCCACGGUGUGGUACAAGUACGAACCAAUGGCGGAGCCAGAAAAUAUCUAUAAGGGAG